rnacentral:lncRNA from 1 species
UACCAUUAGCGUCGUCGUUCACCAGGUGACUCAAACCAAGGUAGCCUCGAAGCGAGAUCGAUCCGUGAAGGUGCUGCCCGGCCGGUCUCAAUUAGUUAGGUUUCUUGUACAUAUGCUCAAGAUCUUUUGCUUCAUUUCUCGUUUGGGUUCGUCGAUCUGGUGCUAUAGAGGGGUGGAUGGCGAAGAACAAGCACUAGAAGGUGGAUGGGGUUUUAGGAUGCCAGGUUUUGCUGGUUUUAUGCCCGUGGUGGCGGCGGCGCCGCCGCCGCCGAUGAUGAUGAUGAAAAAUUAGCUGAAGUAAAAGAUUUUCAGUCUGAACUUCUUAUGAACUAUCUUAGCGAUGAUGGUGAUGAGUACUCCGUAUUAGUGUGUGCUUUGUUAUGUGAUUGAAAAACCUUGUGUGCCUAACUCUAACUGACUGCCCACUCCGUUCAUGGUCACUGCUGUGCUAGGCUGCCAGCGGCGUCACUGUCAAGGCUUUGCUUCAUAGAAUGAGGUGACUUGAUGUGCACCCAUGGCCCCUUCUUUCAUCAGUUUCUUCGUCAGUCCUCUCUCAGGGACUAGAGUUUAGGACAGUGAGAGUGCAAUGGCGCCACCUCGAUCACUUUCCCGAUUCCUCCAUGGCAUGAUAGCACUCUACCUUUUGUUUGUGAGAUGACACUCGACCUGCCGCACAAGAUAUGGCACUAGACAGAAAACCGUUCAAGAUAUUUCGUUUAAUCUCAGAAGAAACCGUCCAGUUAGUUGCUGAAGAUUGAAGAAGACCACAGCUGUAAAUAUCAGUCUGUGAGAAGAUGGAUGGGGUAGGUGGUGACGCUGGCGAGACGUGCGAUUUACGAUAUGAUAAGCAGGCGAUCAAUUCUGCUCCCGGGGUAGAGUAGACCAGCUAGCUAUUGCACCAAAUUCCGUCUCCCGUCAGCUGGAGGAGAGGAAUCCUCGAGAAACAAGGAACCAUCCACAAAUGGCACUCCUCUCCAAGGGGAAUGAGAGCAACGGCACACGAUUAAGAAACAAUAAACCGCGCUAAUAAUGCUCCGACGUGUCGUGUGCUCCAAAGAAAAAUGGCAAGUCGCGUCGCGUGUCAGAUCAGCGCAUGAGGACGACGAUAGGCGGGUCGCUUUAUCGCCGUGGGGCGUGGGAUGGCCAUGCCGAGGCUCGGGUCCACGUCCAACCAGCCAUCCGUCCCGGAUCGGAUUUGGUGGGGGCGGGGCCCACCGGACAGUCAAAAAAACUUGUCGACUCUGACCAGAUCCUUCCUGUUCACCGAGACGAGUGCGAAUGAAUGGGAUGAUUGAUUCGCAUCGGCUGAUUGAGGGCACGACGCGAUGCCUUCUUGGUCCUCUGUUAUUACUCCGCGUGCACGCAGUCUGGAUGGAGAGACUGCACGUGCACGUACGUACUCUACAUCCUCCGUAGAUUUGGCGUUUUGUUCCGAUCUUUCUACCCUGCGGCAAUGCCAUGGACGUUUGCGACUGUGUCAACUGUGAAGAAAGCUGAUCGUUUCCGUGGUGCUGCGUUGCUGCUAAAACUGCUUGGCGUGUCUCCGCGGUGUUGUUUAUGGGGCAAGAGCUCUAGAGACCCAGAAACUUGCGUUGGAUGUGAUGGUUUAGUCCAUAAACUUGUAAAAGAUGAUCAACUAGUCCACAAACUUGCAAACUAUGUGAUGGUUUAGUCCACAGCCAAUCAGAGGCGGACAAUUGGCGCCCAGCUGGGUGCUUCGUGGCACAUAUCAUCGGAACGGCGUUUUUUUUGGAAAACCCCUCAACGUUUCGGUAAAUCACACCCGCAGAAGAUGCUAACGAGCUUACGUUUAUUUCACGUAGAAAACAAACAAACUAACAAGCUCGUUAGUUUGAUUUUCACGCUCGUUCAUUUGUUUGUUUGUUUUCAACUCCGGCAGCGCAAUGUUGAGGCCACUGGCCGCCGCCAUGCCACCCGUGUCGGAGUUGGGAGUCCCCGAAGUUGAAGAUCACCACGGGGGACCUCUUGGUGGCAGGCUCCGGCUCCGCGGCGUGGGUGGCGACGGCCAGGCCGCUCCCCCCCCCCCCAAGGACCCAUAGCCGGCCGCCACCACCGCCGCCGCCGGCAUGUACUUGAGGCAGGCGACGAGCAACACCGCGCCCACCCCCACCAGCAGCACGUAGUACUGCAGCCGCAGGCUGAUCUUGGCCGCGCCCACGCCCCCUCCGCCGUUUAUCUCGGCGCCCCCUCGGCCGUUCAUCUCGCCAGCGCUGACGCUCUCUCGGCCUUGCUCUGUCUCUCAAGCUCCUUGCGCUGGCUGGGGAAGUGUCUGCGUGGCUGUGUAGUGUACCCGUCCGGCCGUCCGACCGUGUAUGGAUAUAUGCAGGCGGUUGAGGGUCCGUGAGGGUGGGGCGCACCGUCUCUUCCGUGUCCUUGGGAGAGGAGAUGGGAUGAUGAUGUGAUGCAUGUAUUGUCACGCACCGCAUGGAAGAAGAGGGAUCGGAAAAAGCAAAGGUGACGGCAAUGGAUGCGCGCGCAUGUUGCAAUAAACAUCUCGGCUCGUAAGCUCGUUACCUGGUCGGACCGGCCUCUUUUUUUUAGCAUCAGUACAGACACAAGCGCUCAUAUACACGCGCAUACACUCACCCCUAUAAACGCGCACACGCACACCCUACCCCUAUGAGCACCUCCGAAAGACUGAGCCGACAUAUCAUCUUUAGAUUUACGAAGCCAUCGUAGGCACCUCGUCGUCGACGGGAACGUCUGCUCCCACUGAAAGCGAGCACCAGAAUUUGAACCCUGAUGGGUUGGGGAGACCACUGUCCACCUAAUCAUCUCAACCAUAGGUUGGUUCCCACCGACCUCGUUGUUUAUUUCACGUACUAGAAAACAAACAAAGUAACGACCUUACGUUUUUACCGAAAAGCCGCUCCUAAUCUCAGAGCUUACUCAGCCAAGCCACAGCCGAAAGGAGCCAUGAUGCAGAGAGAGACAAGCCAAUCCCACGAUCUGAGAAAAGGACACGGCCACACCGCAGAGAAACUUGAACGGAGAAAAUGACGAGUGGACACCGGUUACCAGAAGCAGAAACGAGAGACAUCGAAUCGAUCAUGGUAUGCGGUGCUCGAGUCCCCCCGGUGUAGAGUUCAUGGCUUGGCUUGUUGGUGCCAACCUUUCCUGCUGGUAUCGAUUGAUUCAGUUUUGUUUUGCAAAGUGCCCGUUCUGUUCAAGUUCAACCGUAUAGCGUUACCAUGUUGUAAGUGUACAAAAUGAUACGAGAAUUCACGUCCCAUACAUGUAGAGCAGUGGUGCGAAAGCAGCAGAUCUGCCUUGCACAUGUUGCUUUUGCACAAUGAUUUCAUUUUACCGUUUCUUAAGAAGGAAAAUGGGGGAAAAGGAGUUGAACUCAAAUGCACAUAAGACGUGAUUGAAAACACUGUCGACCAAGGGACCAGAUCAAUGUCCGUCUAAACUCGUUACAGGGAUGACAGCAGCUAACAAGUUACAAGGACUGUGGGCGUGAUUUCCUGAAACGUUGAGGGGUUUUCCACAAAAAAAACCGGUCCGACCAGGUGCCACUAAGCAUCCAACUGGGCGUCAAUUGUCCGUCUCCGAUUGGCUGUGGACUAAACCAUCACAUAGUUUGUAAGUUUGUGGACUAGUUGAUCACCUUUUGCAAGUUUAUGGACUAAAUCAUCACAUCCAACGCAAAUUUCUGGGUCUCUAGUGCUCUUGCCUCGUUGUUUAGCUGGGCACCCUAUCGACUAGUUCAGGAAACUUGGUGGUCGCUGGCCAGCUUUGCUGCAGACACGGCGACUGGCUCCUAGUAUAAAGUAGCCGCAGUGCUGCUACAUGGGGAAGCUGACGCUUCUUGACAUGAAGUAUUCACAAGCUGCGGGGGAGAGCAACAGAAGCAGAACUGAGACCAAGAACGAGUCAGCACAGCAUUUCUUGCAAGUUUGCCCGUGACACUGUUCCUGGUCAAUCGAUGAGGGGUCACUCGUCGAUCCAUGAGCCGGCCAAUGCAAGGACAGCAACGUAGCAUAGUACGUGGGAUGCAAGAUCAUCAAGCAGAUCAACAACACAACUCAGGGAAACUCCAACGGCCCCAAACAAACAUAUGUUUUGCCCGAAUUUUGUUAGUUUGGGAUAGAAAAACGGAUACGUCUGCCCACUUGCGAUCGUGCGGCCGUCGGUUUGUCCAACCGGUCCGCCGCAUCCCAACUAUCCGUGUAUUUGGACUUGAAUUUUGACCCACAAAAAACCUAAAUAAACAUUGCAAAUAAUAUAAAAAUAUUAAUAUAAACAUUAAAACGUCCACACGUCCGCGGUAGCCAAGUUCAACACAGUUCUUAAAUAAAUUAAAACUUAAAAGACAUAAAUUAAACUAGAUAGGCCGUUGUUGUCUUGAGUAGCCGCCGUCCUACUCCUCGUGGUCGUCGUCGGUGUGGCCCGCCGUCGUCUUCAGUAGCCGCCGUCCUAUUCCUUGUCAUCGUCGUCGUCGUUGUCGGCGAGGCCGCCGUCGUCUUCAGUAGCCGCCAUCGUACUCGUCAUCAUAGCGGUGAGGUCGACGUAUGGAGGUUGCUGCCAGAGGUGGGCUGACGACCCCUGCCACACCGGAGGCGCCUGCAGCACUACCUCCCCCUGCUCCGGUGACCGUGGCGGUCUGGGUGACCAUGGCCCGACACCCACCGCAUUGGCCAUCUUUGGCGCUGUGGACGACCAGCUCCACGGCUGGCCCACCAGGCGCGGGUUCCACGUGGCGAUGGGCGGCUCCUCGAUCACCUCUUCUUGCACCUCCUCCUUGACAACCAUGUCCAACUCCGGGACGACGACAUCCCGACCGCAAAGAGGGCUGAUGCGGAGCAUCCCUGAUCAUCCCCAUGGACUCUACCUCAACCAUCCAAGCUCCAAGUGGACCCAUGACAAGAGCAAGGGCUCGGCUAUUCAAUCUGAGGUGACAUCACUCCUACUUGAGCUUCCCUUUUCUUCUAGUGAGGCAUGGUUACUGCCUAAGUCAGAGAUACUAUGUGUGAUCAGGUACAAUGCUCAAGCCACGGAGACGAAAGCUGAAGAAGAAGUGACUGGCGUCAACUCUCUGGACAGCCCGGAACUUCCGGCCAGAGCCCGGAACUUUCGGCCCCCGGAACCUCUGGCCGUCCCACAACUUCCGGCCUCCGACGACUUCGACCGGGCCGGGCAUGCCAACUCUCUGGUUAGCCCGGAACCCGCCCGGAACCUGGCCCGGACCUUCCGGCCCCCGGAACUUCCGGCCCCCGGACGCCAGUCCAGCUCCUCCCGCGUCAACUUUCGGCUUAGGCCGAACCCUGCCCGGAACCUCCGGCGCCCGGAACUUCCGGCCUGGCCCGGAACUUCCGGCCCUACCUGCGUGCAGCCACUUGGGCUGAGGCCCGUGUACCCUUUCGCCCCGUAGACUAUAUAUACUCUUCUUCUACCUACUUCUAGGGUUAGCAUUGUGAUAGCUCAUUUGAGAUAGAGCAUUGCUCAUCCGUACAAGAUCUACUCCUCGUGAGGGACCGCACCUCCUCGGAGAAGAUCCAUCCGGAUUCAAGACCUCCAUCCGGAGAAGACAAUCAAGAGCUCCUCACGGAGAAGAACGGUUACUCUUGUAUCGUCCCUUGUUGAUUUUGAAUCUUGUGUUACUUGUGCCUCGAUGAUCUAGCACUCGUGUGAUCAAUUUCGUGUCGGUUGAGUGUUUCUCCGUGUUUCCCCUCGUGAUUUCCCUCGUGUUCUUCCGCGCGUUCUUCGUGUUCCCCGUAGGAUCCUCUCCAAACGUGAAAGAUCGGCCACCUAGGGUUCCGCCCUACAUCAUCUUGGUAUCAUGAGCCAGGUUGAUCACGUUUUUGAGCCCCUACCCCGUGUUUUCUAGCUUGAUUUUGUUGUUUUUGUCCUAAAUUCGAAAAUCCCCGCAAAAAUAGCCCUCCCAAUUUUUUUUGUGAUUUGCUGGUGUGAUGAAAUUUUGUUGGAUUUGAUCCACGGAUCGGCUUUGCAACGUGUGGAUCUAGCUUCCCCACCCUUCUCCCCCCCAAAUUUCUUCUUUUCCCCCUCGGAUUUGGGAUUUCCCGAAGUUUUUCCGCCCAAAUCCACAUUUUCCCAAGUCUCUGUUCUUAGCAGAAUCGCGACCCCCGAAACUUCCGGCCUUGCCCGGAACUUCCGGCCCCCGGAACUUCCGGCCGUCCUCGGAACUUCCGGACCCCGGACCUUCCGUCUUGCCCGGAACUUCCGGCCUAGACAGAAAGUUCGCGCAGCUCCCGACUUCCAUUUUCCACUCGCACCACUACCGCUUUUCGCGUGCACCAUCGUUACUUACCAUUACCACCUCCGACACGCGUUGACACGCUUUGGGUCUUUGAGUUUUUGAGUUGUGGUUCCCGUGUCCUAUUGUGUUUCGGCUAUAUAGGUACGGUUCGAAGUCAUCAUCACCACCACUCAUCUUCGCCAAGGACUCGUCAUCGCCAAGGACGGUAACUUCGACGACAUCUUUGUCAUACCUUGCAAUUGUAUUGAUAACCAUCAUAGCCCAUCUUUUGUGUUGCUUACCCAUCGAGACUAGCCAUUGAGUAUUGCUGGCAACGUGACUUGUGCACAUUAGUGAUCAUACUCCAUACCAUACAUACCAUCUCAUAGUGGUGCAUAGCUUAAUAUCAUCUUUUGUGUCACAAAGUUUUCAUUGCAUACACAAUUGCUAUCUUGGUUCGUGAAGUUUUGCACGAGAAAAGAGCUCAAAAGUGAAAGAGCCAAACAAGCUUUUAAGCAAGGAAGGAAAGAUAAGCAAAGAGCUUAUAAGCAAGAACCAUAGCAUCAUACUACAUUAAGAUUGUCAUAUCCGAUCAUCUUGGAUCAUAGCACCUAAAUACCAUACAUAUAACAUACUUGGGAUAGAGGUCAUUGCAUUUUUGCCUAGUAGGUUGUGCACAAGUUACGUAUCCGCCUAUUGUGCAAUCGUGCUAGCAUCUCUCUAGUAUUGUGCAACAAGAGCAUCUUCGUGGACUCCACAUUUUCGCUCACUUUUGGUUUGCACAGUCCCAUCUAUCUAUUUGCGUGUGUGUUUCCGUGUACAACUUCUUGCUUGGUCUACUUGUUGCAUUUGCAAAUUUGUGAAUCUUUUCCAACAUUAUUGAGGCUCACUUACAAUUGCAUCAAAUUUUGUGCCACCAUCCUAAACAAGCUCCUCCAUAAGCUUUUACUUGUAGGUGUGAGAACCGACAAGAAUUUGUACCAACAGUGCUAUUUCAUUGUCCGCAUUUGAGUGAACUUGAUUCAUCUUCAACAUCGGUCAAGGUACAAUUGGUAUACGUUCUUCUCCUUCUACCACUUACAUUUUGUUUGGAAUGAUGGAUAGGCCAAGUUCUUCUACCAAUCCACCCCUCAUCGAGAACGGCAACGACAUGUCAUCAUUCGUCACCAAGAACCACCUCUUUGGUGCUUAACAGGCGUUGCACCAAGAGCAACAAGCAAUGAGCGACCGCAUCGACAACCUCGCCACCGACUUGCGACUCUUCAAGCAACGUACAAGAGACUACUUCAACAACAAGUUCGACGCUCACAAGCAAGAGAAUGAUUCAAGGAUGGAUGAGAUCCGCGCUUUGAUGGGGAACCGCCAUCCUUCCGCGUCUUCAUCCUCAAGACGGAGCCGCUCAAGUCGACACUCCGACGACACCUUCUCCGACUCGAGUACACCGACAUCGAACACUCUUCGACGAGCCGUGCGUCAAGACCGUCAUGCAUCUGGCAAUCCGCUACAUGACAAGCGUUCACAAGAGCAAGUCGACAAGCAUCUACCUCAUCCUCCACCACAUCAAGUUGCAUUUGCUCAAGCUCAAGAACGACAAUGUCAACAUCGCCAAGAGGAAGAACGAGCGCGUCUACACCAAGAAGAACAAGACGUCGAGGCUCUACGUCUUCAACAACAACAAUGUGAAGCGCAAGCUCUUGAGGCGCAACGUGCCCUUCAAGAAUCAAGUCGAGCCAUCGCCAACUGCAAUCGGGGGCGGCGCAAUCAAGAGGAAGACCUUCGAGAAGAAAUCCAAGAGAGGAACUACCAACCGCGAGAGCAACGUCAAGUUCCUCAAGCUCCUCCACAAGCUCGUCAAGCUCCACCUCAACCUCAAGUUCAACAAGAGCAAGUUGAUCAUGGCCUUCUCCCGCGCCAAGAGCAACAUGAGGAUGAUUAUCCCCCACGUCAAGGGCGUCAUCAUCACCAUCGCCAACAACACAAUGAAGAGCAACACUAUGGCAAGCUAAAAUUCACCAUGCCCAAGUUCGGAAGCAAUGAUCCCGAAGAAUACCUCUCAUGGGCAUUGAAAGUCGACAAAAUCUUUCGUUUGCACAACUAUGAGGAAGAGAAGAAGAUCGCUAUGGCAUCACUUGAGUUCCAAGACUAUGUGCUCAUAUGGUGGGAACAAGUCCUUGAGCGCCGACAAGCAAGAGGUGAACCUCCAAUCACAACUUGGGCUCAAAUGAAGGAUGUCAUGCGAGCACGCUUUGUGCCCACCUACUACAACCGCGAUCUCUUCAAGAAGCUACAACUCCUCAAGCAAGGAACAAAGGGUGUUGAAGAAUACUACAAGGAAAUGGAGAUAGCCAUGAUCCGAGCCAAUGUCACGGAAGAUGAUGAGCAAACUAUGGCACGCUUCUUGAAUGGCCUCAAUCGUCCCAUCAAGAAGAUUGCGGACUUCCAACCCUAUUCCAACCUCAUUGAGCUCGUGCAUCAAGCUACCAAGGCGGAACGUCAAGUGCAAGAUGACUUCAAGUACGCCAAGUACUCCUCCAAGACCUACGGUUUCUCCAACAACCAAGCUUCAACGACUCCUCCAACGUCUACUUCAACCAAGCCAUCUACAAGCAAUGACGACAAGUCAAGUUACAAGAAAACUUCGACAAGCUCAAGUCGUCCUCUUCCUACUACAAGCAACUUCAAACCGCGUGCUUCAUCAUCUACUCCGACCGAUGAGACCGUCAAGACAAGCUCCUUCAAGUGUUUCACUUGCGGCGGCCGAGGCCACAAUUCCUACGAAUGCACAAACAAGCGCACCAUGAUCCUCAAUGACGAUGGUACAUAUGACUCCAUGAGUGAAGAGGAAAUGGAAGCCCUUGAGCAAGUGGACAUGCACCGGCGAGUGAAUGAGGAUGAAGAUGAUCAAGUCUUUUGUGAUGAAGAUUCGAGCCCCGCUCUCGUUGUCUCCAAAGUCUUGACUCUUCAGCAUCAACAAGAAGAAGACCAAAGAUGCCACAUCUUCCAAACAAAUGCCGGCAUCAAGGGAAGGUCAGUCAAGGUCAUCAUCGAUGGAGGUAGUUGCCACAACUCGGCAAGUGAGGAGCUAUGUUCCAAGCUACAAUUGGUUAAGAUGAAGCACCCGCACCCAUACAAGAUUCAAUGGCUAAGUGACUCUGGCACUAUACGAGUUGAGCAUACGGUGCAAGUCUCCUUCAAAAUCAGUGCAUAUGAGGACACUUUGGAGUGUGAUGUCGUCUCGAUGUACGUUUGCCACCUCCUUCUUGGUAGGCCAUGGCAAUUCGACCGUGGUGUCAUCCACAACGGGCGUACCAAUCACUAUAGCUUCAAGAUGAAAGGGAAGGAAUAUGUGCUACGACCUAUGUCUCCUAGUCAAGUGAUAGCCGACAAGCAAGCCACCCAUCGUGGAGAGAAGAGUGAGAAAGUGAUCAACCAAAAAGUGAGUGAGAGCCACAAGCCAAACUUGAGUGCCUCUUCGCCUAGAGAGAAAAACCUAGUCCUAUUUGCUACCAAAAGCGAGAUGAGAGAAGUGUGUGAGAACCCAUCGAGUGUUAUGCACUUUGUCCUUGUGUGCAAGGAUGGGGACCCAACAACUAACACCUCUCAUGAGCUAGCUUUAGUGUUUAAAUCUCUUUUGCAGGAAUUCCAAGAUAUUUUUCCCGAUGAGCUACCUCCGGGUCUACCUCCUCUACGAGGCAUUGAGCAUCGAAUCGACCUCAUCCCCGGAGCGCCCCUACCAAACAAAGCUCCAUACCGUGUCAACCCAGAAGAAACUAAAGAGAUCCAAUGGCAAGUACAACAACUCAUCGACAACGGUCAUGUACGUGAAAGCUUAAGUCCUUGUGCCGUUCCCGUUAUACUUGUGCCCAAGCAAGACAGUAGUUUUCGCAUGUGCUCGGAUUGUAGACCUAUUAAUGCUAUUACCGUUCAUUAUAGGCAUCCCAUUCCUCGCUUAGAUGAUAUGCUUGAUGAACUUAGCGGUGCCGCCUUUUUCUCAAAAAUAGAUCUUAAAAGUGGCUAUUAUCAAAUCCGCAUACAAGAGGGUGAUGAAUGGAAAACUGCUUUCAAAACCAAAUUUGGCUAGUACGAGUGGUUAGUUAUGCCUAUGGGUUUGUCGGAAGCUUCCGGUACUUUCAUGCGUCUUAUGCAUUUUGUGCUUCGACCUUACAUUGGAGUCUUUGUUGUCGUUUACUUUGAUGAUAUUCUUGUGUUUAGCAAAUCUCUGAAAGACCAUCUUGUUCAUGUUAGGGCUGUUUUGCAAACCCUCCGCAAGGAACGUCUUUAUGCCAACAUGAAGAAGUGUAUGUUUGGUGUUGACAAACUUGUUUUUUUGGGUUUUGUCAUUUCUUCCAAGGGUGUCCAUGUUGAUGAAUCUAAGAUUGCAGCAAUUAAAACUUGGCCCCAACCCACCAAUUUGCAACAAGUGUGUAGCUUUCUUGGUUUGCAGGUUUUUAUCGUCGCUUUGUGAAAGACUUUAGCACUAUUGCCUCUCCUUUGCAUGCCUUGAGUAAGAAGAAUGCUCCUUUUGUUUGGGGAUCUUUGCAAUCCACCGCUUUUGACGAGCUCAAAUCUUUGCUUACUCAUGCGCCGAUUCUUGCUUUACCCAACUUUGACAAAACUUUUGAGGUUCAUUGUGAUGCUAGCGGUACCGGAAUUGGCGGAGUUUUGAUGCAAGAAAAAUGAGCCAUUGCAUAUUUUAGUGAAAAACUCUCCGGUGCUCAACUUAACUAUCCCAUCUAUGACAAAGAAUUGUAUGCGUUAGUGCGCGUACUACAUGUUUGGGAACAUUAUCUUAGACCUCAUGAGUUUGUCAUCCAUACCGAUCAUGAAAUGCUUAAGUACUUAAAAGGUCAAACUAAAUUGAACAACCGUCAUGCCAAUUGGAGUGAGUUUAUUGAAUCUUUCCCCUAUGUGAUCAAGUACAUUAAGGGUAAGGAAAAUGUAGUUGCCGAUGCACUUUCACGCAUAUUCACUCUUGUCACUAAACUUGAGCUGAAUGUUAUUGGUUUUGAGCAUAUAAAAGACUUGUAUGAGCAUGAUCCUUCUUUUGCUACUCCUUAUGCUAAGUGUUUGACACACACGUCUUGGGAACGAUACUACAUAAAGGAUGAUUAUCUUAUGGGAGCUAACAAACUUUGCAUUCCCGAGUCUUCUCUUCGUUUGUUCCUUUUGCAAGAGGCUCAUGGAGGCGGACUCAUGGGACAUUUUGGACGCGACAAGACUUUUGCCAUGCUCUCCAAGAACUACUUUUGGCCCAAGAUGUUCCGCGACAUCUCACGCUUCACCAACCGUUGCUCUACAUGUCGCAAAGCUAAGUCUAAAGCCCAAUCCCAUGGUCUUUACAUGCCCCUUCCUAUUCCUUAUCAACCUUGGGAAUACAUUAGCAUGGAUCUUGUACUUGGUUUGCCUAGAACUCAAAAUGGCAAGGAUUCCGUCUUUGUUGUUGUGGAUCGAUUUUCUAAGAUGGCACAUUUCAUUCCUUGCAACAAGAUAGACGAUGCUUCACAUAUUGCCAAUCUCUUUUGUAGGGAAAUCUUGCGACUACAUGGAGUACCGAAGACAAUUGUCUCCGACCGCGACGUCAAGUUCUUGAGUUACUUUUGGAAGACGCUAUGCGCUAAGCUCGAAAUCAAGCUCUUGUUCUCUUCGGCAUACCAUCCUCAAACCGACGGCCAAACGGAGGUGACGAACUAUACACUCUCCACUCUCCUUCGCGUGUUGAUCAAGAAGAACAUCAAGGAGUGGGAGGCGUGUCUACCCAUCGCCUAGUAUGCCUACAACCACGCAAGGCAUUCAACUACCGGCAAGUCUCCUUUCGAGGUCGUCUACGGCUUCAACCCGUUGUCACCAUUGGACAUCCUUCCUCUUCCACUACAAGAGCGCACCAACAUGGACGCAAGUGCCCGCGCAAGCUACAUCAAGAAGAUGCAUGAAGAUACAAGACAAACCAUUGAGCGCCAAGUGCAACGACUCGCGACAAAACUCAACGCCAACAAGCAACCCAUGAUCUUCGACAUUGGCGAUCUCGUGUGGCUACACCUUCGCAAGGACCACUUCCCCAACGAACACAAGUCCAAACUACUACCUCGAGCCGAUGGACCCUUCAAGUGCUAGCACGCUACAACAACAACGCCUACAAGAUCGACAACCCAUGCGACAAGUACUCCGUGAGCGAUAUCUUCAACGUCCACGAUCUCUCCCCGUACCAUGGUGAUGAGGAUUUCGAUCUGAGGUCGGAUCUUUCCCAAGGGAGGGAAGAUGAUGCGGAGCAUCCCGUGAUCAUCCCCAUGGACUCUACCUCAACCAUCCAAGCUCCAACUGGACCCAUGACAAGAGCAAGGGCUCGUGCUAUUCAAGCCGAGGAGACAUCACUCCUACUUGAGCUUCCCUUUUCUUCUAGUGAGGCAUGGUUACUGCCUAAGUCAGAGAUACUAUGUGUGAUCAGGUACAACGCUCAAGCCACGGAGACGAAAGCUGAAGAAUAAGUGACUGGCGUCAACUCUCUGGACAGCCCGGAACUUCCGGCCAGAGCCCGGAACUUCCGGGCCCCAGAACCUCUGGCCGACCCGGAACUUCCGACCUCCGACGACUUCGACCAGGCCGGGCGUGCCAACUCUCUGGUUAGCCCGGAACCUGGCCCGGACCUUCCGGCCUGCCCGGACCUUCCGACCCCCGGAUGCCAACCUAGCUCCUCCCGCGUCAACUUUUGGCUUAGGCCGGACCCUGCCCGGAACCUCCGGCACCCGGAACCUCCGGCGCCCGGAACUUCUGGCCUGUCCCGGAACUUCCGGCCCUGCCUGCAUGCAGCCACUUGGGCCGAGGCCCGUGUACCCUUUCGCCCCGUAGACUAUAUAUACUCUUCUCCUACAUACGUUCUAGGGUUAGCAUUGUGAUAGCUCAUUUGAGAUAGAGCAUUGCUCAUCCGUAACGGAUCUACUCCUCGUGAGGGACCGCACCUCCUCGGAGAAGAUCCAUCCGGAUUCAAGACCUCCAUCCGGAGAAGACAAUCAAUACCUCCUCACGGAGAUUAACGGUUACUCUUGUAUCGUCCCUUGUUGAUUUUUAAUCUUGUGUUACUUGUGCCUCGAUGAUCUACCACUUGUGUGAUCAAUUUCAUGUCGGUUGAGUGUUUCUCUGUGUUUCCCCUCGUGAUUUCCCCCGUGUUCUUCCAUGCGUUCUUCGUGUUCCCCAUAGGAUCCUCUCCAAACGUGAAAGAUCGGCCACCUAGGGUUCUACCCUACAUCAAGGGCCGACUGGGUUUCGAGGCCCUCCCAUUGGUGCUCGUCGUGGGUGUUUAUGGAGUCCUCCAAGACACGCCUCAUGAGCUCGGCCUCUUCCUCCUUGGUCAUGGGAGGUGGCGGUGGCGGGGACGGGGACGGAGAUGACGUCGACCUGAAGCCGCACACACGCCUAAGCCCGCACGUUUGGGGCGGGAUCUCAACACGAGCAGGACGCGGGCGGGACGGGCUCGAAGGACGAUUGGCAAAAAAGGAUUGCCGUUGCAGGUAAUGCUCGUCGCGGGGCCACGUAUCCCACAACAGCGAAUCAAUGGCAUACCCGCGGUCGUAGAGCAGAUCGGGUGCCCAGCGGGCGCGGUGUCGGUCGAUCUCCUCACGGUGGGCGCGUCCGCUCACUGGCACUGGUGGGAUUAGAACAUGAUCCGCAGAGAGAUGCCAAUUGUUGGGGAGGUGGACAUCUCCCCACGGGAGUGGAGUCACCAUCUCCCAGUAGCGCUGGCAGAUGUCGGCGAAGACAUACGACCUAUUGCGCUACAAGGCUGGCGACAGCGCGAUGUCAAAUGCGGACGGAGCAGGUGGUGCAGGCGGUGCGGCCUUGGUGGAGGGGCGGUGAUCGGAGGAGGAGCCGACCUCAUGGUCGUGCUUCCCCUUGCUGAUGCAAUGCCAUCCCAUGGCGCCGGCGAGGAGAUGGGUGAGAGGGAUGCGUCGGCAGCGGCUAGGGUUUGCUCGCUCUUAUCGGGGGUCGAGGAGGCAGAUUGUCUCGGAAGUCGAAGCGAUGGACUGGCUGGUCCACAGCUUCCACAUUAAGAAGGAUGGCGACCUAGCAGUUGGGUGACUAACAGCCGGGCCCACCGUGCUUGCGCAAUUAUUUUAGGUGGUGGACGUAGGUGAAUGGCGGCCACGCGUCUCGGAGCCACACGAGAAGCAAGCACGUGCUCCUCCGUUUGCGAUGAAAAUGGAACGGGCCAAACGCCAAAGAACAAAAAUACGGAUGCGGUCGCGUGUUGAAUCGUGCCAUCUAUCCGUUUGGACUCAAACGGACAAACACGAACCAAAUGGGAUCGUGCAUUUGAGUUGCCCUAAGCCCGUCGAGCCUCAACCAUGUGCAUCACUAUCCCAGCUGUUCGUGUCGAUCGUGUCGACAGUGAACAGUCCCUAAACAUAUCACACACAUCAUGUAUUCAUGUGAUCAUGCCACACUCUUAAAUGCCGUGGUGCGUUUUUCCCUUUGCACACUGGUGUUGAUGCUUGGCCAAUGCAUGUCACACACUAAUUGCAUGGCUUAGUUAAGUGCGGAUGUGGUGCCACUUUUUCUUCGGUCCAUUUCCAUGUCCAUAAGAAAAUUGACUUAGAGCAACUCCAGCAGACCCCGUAAAAUUCCGGCGAGUAUAUGGGCUCGGCCCAAUUUUCAGGCUAGAAUAGAGCCCGUAUACUCACCCGACCCGUAAAAUCUUUUACUGCGGCCCGCAAACCGCCCACCCAAGCAGUAUAUCUACAUUUUGCGGUGUAUUUGCGGGUCGAAAUCCUACCCCCUCCCCCCCGCCGCCGCGUCUCUCCGCAAUUCCCCACUCCCCUCCUCACAUUUCUCGCCGCCGGUGAGCCCCUUCAGCCUCUAGCCGCCAUGUGGGUGUUGGGGAACGUAGCAGAAAUUCAAAAUUUUCCUACGAGUCACCAACAUCUAUCUAUGGAGAAACAAGCAACGAGAGAGAGGGGAGUGCAUCUACAUACCCUUGUAGAUCCCUAAGAGGAAGCGUUCAAGAGAACGGGGUUGAAGGAGUCGUACUCGUCGUGAUCCAAAUCACCGGAGAUCCUAGUGCCGAACGGACGACACCUCCGGGUUCAACACAUGUGCAGCCCGGUGACAUCUCCCACGCCUUGAUCCAGCAAGGAGAGAGAGGGAGAGGUUGGGGAAGACUCCGUCCAGCAGCGGCACAACGGCGUGGUGGUGAUGGAGGAGCGUGGCAAUCCUGCAGAGCUUCGCCAAGCAUCGCGAGAGAGGAGGAGGGAUGCGCCAGAACUUGGGUGCGGCUGCCCUCCCACCCCCACAUAUAUAGGGGCAAGGGAGAGGGGGGACAGCCCCCUCAGAUCCAAUCUGAGGAGGGGGCGGCGGCCAGGGGGUUGCCUUGCCCCCUAAGGCAAGGGGGCGCCCCCCCUUUAGGGUUUCCCCAAACCCUAGGCGCAUGGGCCCUAAGGGGGGAGGCGCCCAGCCCACUAAGGGGCUGGUCCCUUUCUACAAACAUCCCAUAGGGCCCUCCGGGGCAGGUGUACCCUCCCGGUGGACCCCCGGAACCCCUUCGGUGGUCCCGGUACAAUACCGGUAACCCCCCAAAUUAUUCCGGUGACCGUAUGAUGACUUCCCAUAUAUAAAUCUUUACCUACGGACCAUUUCGGAACUCCUCGCGAUGUCCAGGAUCUCAUCCGGGACUCCGAACAACAUUCGGUAACCACGUAUAUCUAUUCCCUAUAACCCUAGCGUCAUCGAACCUUAAGUGUGUAGACCCUAUGGGUUCGGGAACCAUGCAGACAUGACCGAGACGUUCUCCGGUCAAUAACCAACAACGGGAUCUGGAUACCCAUGUUGGCUCCCACAUAUUCCAGAUGAUCUCAUCGAAUGAACCACGAUGUCAAGGACUCAAUCAAUCCCGUAUACAAUUCCCUUUGUCUAGCGGUAUCGUACUUGCCCGAGAUUCGAUCGUCGGUAUGCCGAUACCUUGUUCAAUCUCGUUACCGGCAAGUCUCUUUACUCGUUCCGUAACACAUCAUCCCGUGAUCAACCCCUUGGUCACAUUGUGCACAUCAUGAUGAUGUCCUACCGAGUGGGCCUAGAGAUACCUCUCCGUCAACCAGAGUGACAAAUCCCAGUCUUGAUUCGUGCCAACCCAACAGACACUUUCGGAGAUACCCGUAGUGCACCUUUAUAGCCACCUAGUUACGUUGUGAUAUUUGGUACACCCAAAGCAUUCCUACGGCAUCCGGGAGUUGCACAAUCUCAUUGUCUAAGGAAAUGAUACUUGACAUUAGAAAAGCUUUAGCACACGAACUACACGAUCUUUGUGCUAGGCUUAGGAUUGGGUCUUGUCCAUCACAUCAUUCUCCUAAUGAUGUGAUCCCAUUAUCAACGACAUCCAAUGUCCAUGGUCAGGAAACCGUAACCAUCAAUUGAUCAACGAGCUAGUCAAUUAGAGGCUUACUAGGGACAUGGUGUUGUCUAUGUACCCACACAUGUAUCUGAGUUUCCUAUCAAUACAAUUAUAGCAUGGAUAAUAAAUGAUUAUCAUGAACAAGGAAAUAUAAUAAUAAUAACUAAUUUAUUAUUGCCUCUAGGGCAUAUUUCCAACAGUCUCCCACUUGCACUAGAGUCAAUAAUAUAGUUCAUAUCGCCAUGUGAUUAACAUUGACAGGUCACAUCGCCAUGUGACCAACAUCCAAAGAGUUUACUAGUGUCACUAAACUAGUUCACAUCACCAUGUGAUUAAGACUCAAUGAGUUCUGGGGUUUGAUCUUGUUUUGCUUGUGAGAGAGGUUUUAGUCAACGGGUCUGCAACAUUCAGAUCCGUAUGUAUUUCGCAAUUCUCUAUUUCAUAUUGUAAAUGCUGCUUCCAUGCUCCACUUGGAGCCAUUCCAAAUGGUUGUUCCACUAUACGUAUCCGGUUUGCUACUCAGAGUCAUUCGGAUAGGUCUUAAAGCUUGCAUCGACGUAACCCUUUACGCUGAACUCUUUAUCACCUCCAUAAUCGAGAAACAUGUCCUUAUUUACUCCAAGGACAAUUUUGACCGCUGUCCAAUGAUCCCUUCCUGGAUCAUUCUUGUACCCCUUGACUGACUCAUGCCAAGGCACACUUCCGGUGCGGUACACAACAUAACAUACUAUAGAGCCUACGUCUAAAGCAUAGGGGACGACCUUCGUCCUUUCUCUCUCUUCUGCCGUGGUCGAGCUUUAACUCUUAACUUCAUACCUUACAACUCAGGCAAGAACUCCUUCUUUGAUUGAUCUAUCUUGAACACCUUCAAGAUCAUGUCAAGGUAUGUGCUCAUUUGAAAGUACCAUUUAGCGGUUUUGAUCUAUCCCCAUAGAUCUUGAUGCUUAAUGUUCAAGCAGCUUAAUCCAGGCUUUCUAUUGAAAAACACUUUUCAAAUAACCCUAUAUGCUUUCCAGAAAUUCUACAUCAUUUCUGAUCAACAAUAUGUCGACAACAUAUACUCAUCAAAAAUGCUAUAGUGCUCCCACUCACUUCUUUGGAAAUACAAGUUUCUCAUAAACUUUGUAUAAACCCAAAAUCUUUGAUCAUCUUGUCAAAGCGUACAUUCCAACUCCGAGAUGCUUACUCCAGUCCUUAGAAGGAUUGCUGGAGCUUUGCAUGCUUGUUAGCAUCUUUCAGGAUUGACAAAAUCUUCUGGUUGUAUCACAUCCAACCUUUCCUCAAGAAAACUGUCGAGGAAACAAUGUUUUGACAUCCUAUCUACAAGAUUUCAUAAAUAAUGCAGUAACUGCUAAUCCAAUUCCGACAGACUCUUAGCAUCGCUACGAGUGAGAAAGUCUCAUCGUAGUCAACUCCUUGAACUUGUCGGAAAACAUCUUAAUGACAAGUCGAGCUUUCUUAAUGGUGAUACUUACCAUCAUUGUCUGUCUUCCUUUUAAAAUCCAUCUGUACCCAACGACCUUACGACCAUCAAGUAUUUCUUCCAAAGUCAUGGAUCCUUUCUCGGAUUUUAUGGCCUCGAGCCAUUCAUCAGAAUUCGGGCCCACCAUCGCUUCUCCAUAGCUCGUAGGUUCAUUGUUGUCUAGCAACAUGACCUCUAAGACAGGAUUGCAUACCACUCUGAAGUAGUACGCGUCCUUGUCGACCUACGAGGUUCGGUAGUGACUUGAUCCGAAGCAUCAUGAUCACUAUCAUCAGCUUCCACUUCAAUUGGCGUAGGUGCCACAUGAACAACUUCCUGUGCCCUACUACACACUGGUUGAAGUGAUGGUUCUAUAACCUCAUCAAGUCUCCACCAUCCUCCCACUCAAUUCUUUCGAGAGAAACCUUUCCUCGAGAAAAGACCCGAUUCAAGAAACAAUCCCUAUUGCUUUCGGAUCUGAAUCAGGAGGUAUACCCAACUGUUUUGGAUGUCCUAUGAAGAUGCAUUUUGUCCGCUUUGGGUUCGAGCUUAUCAACCUGAAACUUUUUCACAUAAGCGUCGCAGCCCCAAACUUUUAAGAAACGACAACUUAGGUUUCUCCAAACCAUAGUUCAAACGGUGUCGUCUCAACGGAAUUACGUGGUGCCCUAUUAAAGUGAGUGCGAUUGUCUCUAAUGCCUAACCCGUGAACGAUAGUGGUAAUUCGAUAAGAGACAUCAUGGUAUGCACCAUAUCCAAUAGGGUGCAACUAUGAUGUUCGGAUACACCAUCACACUAUGGUGUUCCAGGCGGUAUUAAUUGUGAAACAAUUUCCACAAUGUCUUAAUUGCGUGCCAAAGCUCGUAACUCAGAUACUCAUCUCUAUGAUCAUAUCAUAGACAUUUUAUCCUCUUGUCACAAUGAUCUUCAACUUCACUCUGAAAUUACUUGAACCAUUCAAUAAUUCAGACUUGUGUUUCAUCAAGUAAAUAUACUCAACAUCUACUUGAAUCAUCUGUGAAGUAAGAACAUAACGAUAUUCACUGCAUGCCUCAGUACUCAUUGGACUGCACACAUCAAAAUGUGUUACUUCUAACAAGUUGCUAUCUUGUUCCAUCUUACUGAAAACGAGGCUUUUCAGUCAUGUUGCCCAUGUGGUAUGAUUUGCAUAUCUCAAGUGAUUCAAAAUCAAGUGAGUCCAAACGAUCCAUCUACAUGGAGUUUCUUCAUGCGUAUACACCAAUAAACAUGGUUCGCAUGUCUCAAACUUUUCAAAAACGAGUGAGUCCAAAGAUCCAUCAAUAUGGAGCUUCUUCAUGCGUUUUACACCAAUAUGACUUACAUGGCAGUGCCACAAGUAAGUGGUACUAUCUGAUAUCUUUUGGCAUGAAAAUGUGUAUCACUAUGAUCGAGAUUUAAUAAACCAUUCAUUCUAGGUGCAAGACCAUUGAAGGUAUUAUUCAAAUAAACAGAGUAACCAUUGUUCUCCUUAAAUGAAUAACCGUAUUGCGAUAGACAUAAUCCAAUCAUGUCUAUGCUCAACACAAACACCAAAUAACAAUUAUUUAGGUUUAACACCAGUCUCGAUGGUAGAGGGAGCGUGCGAUGCUUGAUCAUAUCAACCUUGGAAACAAUCCCAACACAUAUCGUCAGCUCACCUUUAUCUAGUCUACUUUUAUUCCGUAGCUUUUAUUUCGAGUUACUAACACUUAGCAACCGAACCGGCAUCUAAUACCCUGGUGCUACUAGGAGUACUAGUAAAGUACACAUUAACAUAAUGUAUAUCCAAUAUACUUCCGUCGACCUUGCCUGCCUUCUUAUCUACCAAGUAUCUAGGGUGGUUCUGCUUUAGUGUCCGUUCCUCUCAUUACAGAAGCACUUAGUCUCGGGUUUGGGUUCAACCUUGGGUUUUCACUAGAGCAUCAAUUGUUUUGCCGUUUCAUGAAGUAUCCCUUCUUGCCCUUGCUCUUCUUGAAACUAGUGGUUUUACUAACCAUCAACAAUUGAUGCUCCUACUUGACUUCUACUUUUGCGGUGUCAAACAUCGUGAAUACUUCAAGGAUCAUCAUAUCUAUCCCUGAUAUGUUAUAGUUCAUCACGAAGCUCUAGAAGCUUGGUGGCAAUGACUUUGGAGAAACAUCACUAUCUCAUCUGGAAGAUCAACUCCCACUCGAUUCAAGUGAUUGUUGUACUCAGACAAUCUGAGCACAACCUCAACGAUUGAGCUUUUUCUCCCUUAGUUUACAGGCUAAGAAAAUCGUCGGAGGUCUUAUACCUCUUGACGUGGGCACGAGCCUGAAAUCCCAAUUUCAGCCCUCGAAACAUCUCAUAUGUUCCGCGACGUUUCAAAAACCUCUUUGGUGCCUCUACUCUAAACCAUUUAACUGAACUAUCACGUAGUUAUCAAAACGUGUAUGUCAGAUGUUCGCAACAUCCACAGACUACGUUCGAGGUCCAGCACACCUAGCGGUGCAUUAAGGACAUAAGCCUUCUAUGAAGCAACGAGGACAAUCCUUAGUUCACGGACCCAGUCUGCAUAAUUGCUACUAUCAACUUUCAACUAUAUUUUUCUCUAGGAACGUAUCUAAAAUAGUAGAACUAAAGCGUGAGUUAUGACAUAAUUUGCAAAGAUCUUUUUGACUACGUUCAGGAUAAUUAAAUUCAUCUUAUGAACUCCUACUCAGAUAGACAUCCCUCUAGCCAUCUAAGUGAUUACACGAUCCGAGUCAACUAGGCCGUGUCCGAUCAUCACGUGAGACGGACUAGUCAUCAUCGGUGAACAUCUUCAUGUUGAUCGUAUCUACUAUACGACUCAUGCUCGACCUUUCGGUCUCUUGUGUUCCAAGGCCAUGUCUGUACAUGCUAGGCUCGUCAAGUCAACCUAAGUGUUUUGCGUGUGUAAAUCUGGCUUACACCCAUUGUAUGUGAAUGUUAGAAUCUAUCACACUCGAUCAUCACGUGGUGCUUCGAAACAACGAACUUUCGCAACGGUGCACAGUUAGGGGGAACACUUUCUUGAAAUUUUAAUGAGGGAUCAUCUUAUUUACUACCGUUGUUCUAAGCAAAUAAGAUGCAUAAACAUGAUAAACAUCACAUGCAAUCAAAAAGUGACAUGAUAUGGCCAAUAUCAUUUUGCUCCUUUUAAUCUCCAUCUUCGGGGCUCCAUGAUCAUCAUUGUCACUGGCAUGACACCAUGAUCUCCAUCAUCAUGAUGUCCAUCAUCGUGUCUCCAUGAAGUUGUCUCGCCAAUUUAUUACUUCUACUACUAUGGCUACCAGUUAGCAAUAAAGUAAAGUAAUUACAUGGCGUUGUUCAAUGACAUGCAGGUCAUACAAUAAAUAAAGACAACUCCUAUGGAUCCUGCCGGUUGUCAUACUCAUUGACAUGCAAGUCGUGAUUCCUAUUACAAGAACAUGAUCAAUCUCAUACAUCACAUAUCAUUCAUCACAUUCUUCUUGGCCAUAUCACAUCACAUAGCAUACCCUGCAAAAACAAGUUAGACGUCCUCUAAUUGUUGUUUGCAUGUUUUACUUGGCUGCUAUGGUUUUCUAGCAAGAACGUUUCUUACCUACGCAAAAGCCACAACGUGAUAUGUCAAUUGCUAUUUACCCUUCAUAAGGACCCUUUUCAUCGAAUCCGAUCCGACUAAAGUGGGAGAGACUGGCACCCGCUAGCCACCUUAUGCAACAAGUGCAUGUUUAUCGGUGGAACCUGUCUCACGUAAGAGUACGUGUAAGGUCGGUCCGGGCUGCUUCAUCCCACAAUGCCGCCGAAUCACGAUAAGACUAGUAACGGUAAGCAAAUUGAACAAAUCAUCGCCCACAACUACUUUGUGUUCUACUCGUGCAUAGAAACUACGCAAUAGACCUAGCUCAUGAUGCCACUGUUGGGGAACGUAGCAGAAAUUCAAAAUUUUCCUACGAGUCACCAAGAUCUAUCUAUGGAGAAACUAGCAAUGAGAGAGAGGGGAGUGCAUCUACAUACCCUUGUAGAUCGCUAAGCGGAAGCAUUCAAGAGAACGGGGUUGAAGGAGUCGUACUCUUCGUGAUCCAAAUCACCGGAGAUCCUAGUGCCGAACAGACGACACCUCCGCGUUCAACACACGUGCAGCCCGGUGACGUCUCCCACGCCUUGAUCCAGCAAGGAGAGAGGGAGAGGUUGGGGAAGACUCCGUCCAGCAGCAGCACAAUGGCAUGGUGGUGAUGGAGGAGCGUGGCAAUCCUGCAGAGUUUCGCCAAGCACCGCGGGAGAGGAGGUGGACUUGGGAGAGGGGGAGGGCUGCGCCAGAACUUGGGUGCGGCUGCCCUCCCACCCCCACAUAUAUAUAGGGGCAAGGGAGAGGGGGGCCGGCCCCCUCAGAUCCAAUCUGAGGAGGGGCGGCGGCCAGGGGGGUUGCCUUGCCCCCCAAGGCAAGGGGGCGCCCCCCCUUUAGGGUUUCCCCAAACCCUAGGCGCAUGGGCCCUAAGGGGGGAGGCGCCCAGCCCACUAAGGGGCUGGUCCCUCUCCACAAACAGCCCAUAGGGCCCUCCGGGGCAGGUGGACCCUCCCGGUGGACCCCCAGAACCCCUUCGGUGGUCCCGGUACAAUACCGGUAACCCCCCGAAUUAUUCCGGUGACCGUAUGAUGACUUCCCAUAUAUAAAUCUUUACCUCGGGACCAUUUCGGAACUCCUCGCGACGUUUGGGAUCUCAUUCGGGACUCCAAACAACAUUCGGUAACCACGUAUAUCUAUUCCUAUAACCCUAGCAUCAUCGAACCUUAAGUGUGUAGACCCUACAGGUUCGGGAACCAUGCAGACAUGACCGAGAUGUUCUCUGGUCAAUAACCAACAACGGGAUAUGGAUACCCAUGUUGGCUCCCACAUGUUCCACGAUGAUCUAAUCGGAUGAACCACGAUGUCAAGGACUCAAUCAAUCCCGUAUACAAUUCCCUUUGCCUACCGGUAUAGUACUUGCCCGAGAUUCGAUCGUCGGUAUCCCGAUACCUUGUUCAAUCUCGUUACCGGCAAGUCUCUUUACUCGUUCCGUAACACAUCAUCCCGUGAUCAAACCCUUGGUCACAUUGUGCACAUCAUGAUGAUGUCCUACCGAGUGGGCCCAGAGAUACCUCUCCAUCAACCGGAGUGACAAAUCCCAGUCUCGAUUCGUGCCAACCCAACAGACACUUUCGGAGAUACCCGUAGUGCACCUUUAUAGCCACCCAGCUACGUUGUGACUUUUGGUACACCCAAAGCAUUCGUACGGCAUCCGGGAGUUGCACAAUCUCAUGGUCUUAGGAAAUGAUACUUGACAUUAGAAAAGCUUUAGCACACGAACUACACGAUCUUUGUGCUAGGCUUAGGAUUGGGUCUUGUCCAUCACAUCAUUCUCCUAAUGAUGUGAUCCCGUUAUCAACGACAUCCAAUGUCCAUGGUCUGGACACCGUAACCAUCUAUUGAUCAAUGAGCUAGUCAAUUAGAGGCUUACUAGGGACAUGGUGUUGUCUAUGUACCCACACAUGUAUGUGAGUUUCCUAUCAAUACAAUUAUAGCAUGGAUAAUAAACGAUUAUCAUGAACAAGGAAAUAUAAUAAUAAUAACUAAUUUAUUAUUGCCUCUAGGGCAUAUUUCCAACAGUGGGGCUGCAUGUCGAGCUCCGGCCGCGGCUCCCUGAGCAGCUCUCGCGAGGGCGGAGACCCCGAACAUGAGUGGCGUGUCCGCUCGAACGGCGCGAGGAAGCGUGGGGCGAGGAAGUGGACGAACAUGGGACUCUCACCGCCACCGAGCUUUCUUGUCCGCGAGACGGAGGAAUACGACCGCCAGCAUGGGUGUACGCCCUCCUCGGCCGCGGGCUCGUCCUCCGCCGCGAGAUCUGCCCACGCCGCGAGAUCUUCCUCUUCCGGCAUGAGGCUUCUCCCCGUGAAGGGGAGUGGUCGAAGGAUCCGGAGGAGAUCGAGGUCGUCGCCGUCAAGCAGGAGCCGGAGGAGAUCGAGCGCCGAGGUGUCAUCGGGCCCGAAGAUUUCGUGGUCGACUUCGACGCGGUCGCGGCCGCCAUUGCCGAGUGGAGCUGGCGCGAGGAGGCAGAGCGCCGGCGCCACGACGACGAGGUCGACAACCUCAUCCUCCAGCAGGCGGUCGCGGCCAACCUUGCCGCGAAGGAGAAGGACGACGAGUGGCGGCGCAUCCGCGAGGAGCAGAGGUCGAAGUUUAUUGAUCUCGUCAGCUCCGACGAGGACUGAGCUCCUCCACCACGUCAUCCUCGGCCGCAAGCUCGUCCAUUUUGGUAUAUCGACCUCGGCCUCGCCGCCACGAGAUUCCCCACCCCCCUCUAGUAGUAGUGGUAGAAUGUAGUAUGUAUGAUCAUGUAGUAUGUGAUGAACUAGUGUAUGAUCAUGUAGUAUGAGAUGAACUAGUGUGGUUGCAAUUUCUCCCACGAAACUUUUUUUAAAUUAUGCAGUUUCAUAUACGGUUUCUGUUCAACCGCGCACAUCUUCGACCCGCAAACGAGAUCUUCGUGAAACCGCAAACGCGUUUUGCGGGCAGGGAUUUUGCGGGGUCUGCUAGAGAUGCUCUUAGGAGCCAAUUCUCGUCGCCUUUUGUAUACUCUAUGUUAGAAAUUAUGGGCUAUGCACUUUACCCUCUAAUUCCUCUGCCUUUUCUGUUGUGCCAGUCUGAAAGCACAAGUGCUCCGUAUGUGGUUUUGGUAAUUAAUGUCAACAUAUCUCUUGUUGGACUAACACUUUUAUCUAGCAUAUUUCAGAAAAGUUCAACUAUGGAGUGGCAUGGACUAAAGGAUGUGGAACCCCUUCAAAAUGCUAAGGACAAAGGAUUGGCUCAAGCUUCAAGAUCAAGACUCUGCAUUUUAUGUUUUAGUGAUCCAAGAUCACAUUGAGUCUAUAGGAAAAGCCAAUACUAUCAAGAGGGGAUGAGGUGUUGCUUAAUGAGUUUCUUGCUCCACAGUGCUUAGUGAUAUGCUCCAAAACCCUCAACUACUUUCCCACAUCCACACAUAUGACCUAAACCUAAAGUCUAACUCGGCCCCACUGAUUCUUUCUAUCCGGCGCCAUCGAGUUUAGAUGUCAUAGCCACUGCCACAAACCCUAGGCAAAUCGGUCUCACCGAUAGGGAUCUCGGUAUCACCGAGAUGGGAUUGUAAUCUCUCUGUGUAUGUCCAUUACCAAAAUCGGUCUCAUCGAGUUUGAGCAAUCGGUACUACCAAGAUUACAAUGCAAACUCUCUGGUUAACUUAUUACCAAAAUCGGUCCCACCGAGUUUGAGUAAUCGGUCCCACCGAGUUUGCCUGACCAACUCUCUGGUUAGCUAAUUACCAAAAUCGGUCUCACCGAGUUUGUGUAAUCAGUCUCACCGAGAUUACGUUAUGCCCUAACCCUAACCAUAUCGGUCCCGCCGAGUUGCAUUUCGGUCCCACCGAAAAUCCUAACGGUCACUAGGUUUACUGAAUCGAUCCGACCGAGUUUCUUGAUUCGCUCCCACCGAGAUUGGUAAAUUGUGUGUAACGGUUAGAUUCUGUGUGGAGGCUAUAUAUGCCCCUCCACCUCCUCUUCAUUCCUGGAGAGAGCCAUCAGAACAAGCCUACACUUCCAGCAUCCUAUUUCUGACAGAGAACUACCUACUCAUGUGUUGAGGCCAAGAUAUUCCAUUCCUACCAUAUGAAUCUUGAUCUCUAGCCUUCCCCAAGUUGCUUUCCACUCAAAUCUUCUUUCCACCAGAUCCAAAUCCUAUGAGAGAGAGUUGAGUGUUGGGGAUACUAUCAUUUGAAGCACAAGAGCAAGGAGUUCAUCAUCAAUGCACCAUUUGUUACUUCUUGGAGAGUGGUGUCUCCUAGAUUGGCUAGGUGUCACUUGGGAUCCUCCGACAAGAUUAUGGAGUUGAACCAAGGAGUUUGUAAGGGCAAGGAGAUUGCCUACUUUGUGAAGAUCUACCGCUAGUGAGGCAAGUCCUUCGUGGGCGACGGCCAUGGUGGGAUAGACAAGGUUGCUUCUUCGUGGACCCUUCUUGGGUGGAGCCCUCCGUGGACUCGCGCAACCGUUACCCUUCAUGGGUUGAAGUCUCCAUCAACGUGGAUGUACGAUAGCACCACCUAUCGGAACCACGACAAAAACAUCUGUGUCUCCAAUUGCGUUUGAAUCCUCCAAACCCUUCCUUUUACAUUCUUGCAAGUUGCAUGCUUUACUUUCCGCUGCUCAUAUACUCUUUGCAUGCUUGCUUGUUAUGUAUUGUGAAUGUUAACCUUGUGCCUAAACUCCACUUAAACCUAAAGAAGUUAAAAACUGCAACUUUGGUACUUAGUGUCUAAUCACCCCCCUCUAGACACCUCUUCUCGAUCCCUUUCAAUUGGUAUCAGAGCAUUGGUCUCCAUUGCUUUGGUUUAAACACCAUUGGAGGAAGAUGGAUGAGUCUACUUUGGGGAGUCUUAGACAUAGAGUGGCUAUUCUUGAUGGAGAGUAUUUUCAUGAGUGGAAAAAUGAGAUGCUUGUGAUUUUCAAUCAAUAUCAUUUGAACAAGUACAUUGCUAGGCCUUGUGCACCUCAUGUUGAUCCUAUGCAUCCUACCCUUGAUGAGUUAAUUGACAUGAUUAGGAAUCUUAGAACUGUUAAUCUUAUCACUAGAGGCUUGCCUAGAAACUUGAUUAGAAACUUGCCUACUCUUGAGUGUGCCUAAACUAUAUGGAAAUUUCUUGAGGAACGCUUUCCCAAUUAUUCCUUGAAAAAUCUAGAUGAAAUUCUCCAUAAGUCUAUUGCCUUGAGUAAGAUGAAUACUAGUGAUCCUAUGUUUGGUGAUCGUCUAUUUGAGCUUACAAACCUUAUGUGUGCCAAAGGAGAUGUUGGAAUUAUUGGUGAUAUUAUUUCCGAAGCUAUAAAAAUUCAUAAGCAAGAUCAUUUUCAAACUCACUCUAACGAAUUACCCUCUCUAGGAUUUGAUCCACCACAUAACGAUGUUGAACAUGGAUACUAUGAUGAGGAUGAUGAUAGUGACUUUGAUCUUGAUGAUGCAAUGAGACAUUUUGGUCUUAUGGCAAAUCUUCGGGGAUAUAUGGCAGGAGGAAAGGAAUGGGUUCUUGAUAGUGGAUGUACCGAUCACAUGACUGGAGAUAAAGACAUGUUUCGUGAGCUUGCUGAAAACAAUGGUCCUCGAAAGUUUGUCACUUUUGGUAAGGUGGUUGGCCUCGAUAAGGUGGCCAUCUCACAUGAUAGUUCUAUUCAAAAUGUUAUGCUCGUUGAAUCUCUUGGCUACAACUUACUUUCAGUAUCUAGACUUGCUGAUUUCGGUUUCAAUGUCCUAUUUACUGAAGUAGAUUGCCAAGUGUUUCAAAGAGAUAAUCAUAAAAUGGUCUUUGCCGGUAUACGUAGAGGUGAUCUUUACAUUGUUGACUUGACUAAAAAGGCUCAACCUAGAACUUGCUUUAUUGCUAAAUCUUCUAAAGGUUGGUUAUGGCAUAGACGGUUAGGACAUGUUGGUAUGCGAAACCUUGACAAGAUUAUUAAAGAAAAUCAUAUCCUUGGUGUUAACGAUGUCAUAUUUGAUAAGGAUAGACUUUGCAGUGCUUGUCAAGCAGGUAAACAGGUUGGAGGAAGGCAUCCCGUGAAGAACAUCAUGACCAUGAGGAGGCCACUCGAGCUACUUCACAUGGAUCUUUUUGGUCCCAAUGCUUACAAGAGUCUCGGUGGAAAUUCUUUUGGUCUAGUUAUAGUUGAUGAUUUUUCAAGAUUUACGUGGGUGUUCUUUCUCGAUGAUAAAUUGCAGGUCCAAAAGAUCUUCAAAAACUUCGCUAGGAAGGCCCAAAAUCAAUUUGAAGUGAAGAUCAAGAAGGUUCACAGCGACAACGGAACGGAGUUCAAGAACGCAAAUGUGGACACCUUUCUUGACGAAGAAGGGAUUUCACACGAGUUCUCGGCUACGUACACACCUCAACAAAAUGGAGUUGUUGAGAGGAAGAACCGGACGCUCAACGAAAUGGCGAGAAUGAUGCUUGAUGAGUACAAGACGCCGACGCACUUUUGGGCAGAAGCGGUUGAGACAACUUGUCAUGCAACAAAUCGCUUGUAUCUUCACAAGCUGCUCGACAAGACGGCAUAUGAGCUUCUCACCGGAAACAAAGACCCCUCGGAAGUAAUCCAAGACUUGUCUAUUGGAAAGGUUUGUCCAACGGAGGUGAAGGAGAGUACCUCGUCUGUCCAAGUGGAAGCUUCCACCUCACGACAAGGUGAACCAAGAGUUGAUACGGAAGCAUCCACAAGUGGGACACACCAAGAUGAAGAAAACAAGGAAGUGCAUCAAGAUGAACGUCAACAACCUCCUUCUCCACCACGACAAGAGAAUGACAACGCCAACAGUGAAGAAGGCCAAGAAGAAGAACAAGAUGAAGAAUAAGUUCAACCAAGAACCAAGCAAAAGCUUUCAUGAGUUCGAGCAAGAAUUGCUAAAGACCAUCCCGUCGAGCAAAUCUACAAUGAUAUCCAAACCGGGAGAAUCACUCGCUCUAAAACUCGUUUAGCUAACUUUUGUGAAAACUAUUCAUUCAUCUCUAGCAUUGAACCUAUGAAGGUUGAAGAAGCAUUGGAAGAUCCGGAUUGGACAAAUGCUAUGCAUGAAGAGCUACACAACUUUGAGAUAAACCAAGUAUGGACAUUGGUUGAGAAGCCCGACAACAACCACAACAUCAUCGAUACCAAAUGGGUGUUUUGCAACAAGCAAGAUGAAGAUGGACAGGUAGUUCGCAACAAAGCACGUCUCGUUGCCCAAGGCUACACACAAGUCGAAGGUAUGGACUAUGGUGAGACUUAUGCUCCCGUUGCUAGACUUGAGUCCAUUCGCAUCUUACUUGCCUAUGCUAAUCACCAUGAUAUCACCCUGUACCAAAUGGACAUUAAAAGUGCUUUUCUAAAUGGUGAAAUAGAGGAGGAAGUUUAUGUUAAACAACCUCCCGGCUUUAUCAAUCCUAAGAAACCCAAUCAUGUCUAUAAACUUCGCAAAGCUCUUUAUGGUCUUAAACAAGCUCCUAGAGCUUGGUACAAAUGCUUAACUAAGUUUCUUAUUGAAAAAGGAUUUGAAAUUGGGAAAAUUGAUUCUACACUUUUUACUAAAAGGGUUAAUGGAGAAUUAUUUGUAUACCAAAUUUAUGUUGAUGAUAUUAUAUUUGGAUCAACUAACCCUCAUUUUAGUGAAAAGUUUGGGAAGCUAAUGUCGGAGAAGUUUGAGAUGUCUAUGAUGAGUGAACUCAAAUUCUUUCUUGGUUUGCAAAUCAAGCAAACUAAGGAAGGUACCUUUGUCUCUCAAACGAAGUACACUAAGGACUUAUUCAAGAAGUUCAAUAUGCAAGAAUGCAAAGGUAUGUCCACACCCAUGCCUACUAGUGGACAUCUUGAUUUGACCAAAGAUGGUGAACCGGUUGAUCAAAAGGUUUAUCGCUCUAUGAUUGGAUCAUUGUUAUAACUAUGUGCUUCACGUCCCGAUAUUAUGCUAAGUGUGUGCAUGUGUGCAAGAUAUCAAGCUGCUCCGAAAGAAUGUCAUCUUAAAGCCGUGAAAAGGAUAGUGAUAUACUUAAUUCAUACGCCAGAUUUUGGCAUUUGGUAUCCUAAGAGGGCCUCUUUCAAUCUUGUUGGCUACUCCGACUCGGACUAUGCUGGAGACAAUGUUGAUAGAAAGUCCACUUCUGGUACUUGUCAAUUUCUUGGUAGAUCUCUUGUGUCUUGGUCUUCCAAGAAACAAAACUCGGUAUCCUUAUCCACCACCGAAGCGGAAUACAUUGUCGCUGGUUCAUGUUGUGCUCAAUUACUUUGGAUGACCCAAACUCUUAAAGAUUAUGGGAUAUAUGUGAAACAUGUUCCAUUGCUUUGUGACAAUGAAAGUGCUAUCAAAAUUGCUCAUAAUCCCGUGCAACAUUCUCGAACUAAGCAUAUUGAGGUUUGUCAUCAUUUCAUUCGAGAUCAUGUUGCUAAGGGUGACAUUAAUCUUAAGCAUGUUCGCACUGAAAAGCAAUUAGCGGAUAUAUUCACUAAACCUCUUGAUGAGAAAGUGUUUUGCAGGUUGAGAGGAGAACUGAACAUCAUUGAUGCUUCAAACUUGGAGUAGAAACUCCGUCGGAUACAUGCAAGACAUGAGCUUAUGACUAAUCCUUGAUAUUUCUCUUAUGAUGAUAAUCUUAUGUCUUGGACAUAUUUGCAUCUUGCAUGUUAUCUAACCCAUGUAGGUACUUGGUUGAAUCAAAUUCCAUGAGAUUGUAACCUACUCACAUCUUGAGCAAUCUCUACAUCACCAAGUCUCUACACUAUGGUGGUUGAAGACAAGGAAGCACGAAACCAGUCAACCAUAUCCUUUGACAAAUUCUGUGUUAAGCUUCACAAUUGUCAUUUUGGAUACACAAGUGCUCUUCCUUGCAAAAAUUAACCCAUGUAGGUAGAUGAACUCAAAUUCCAAGUGGUGCUCCCAACUCUCGAUGAGUUACAUCAACCUUGAGCAACCCACACAAGUUCAACUACAUGAACAAUCAACACCACUACCCAAGGUAUGUCAUUCCAUCUUAGAAAAGCUUUACUCCAAGACAUGAGUUAAAGCAACUUGACAAGAUGUGAAUACAUCAAGAUGCUUAAUCCAAAAAUGGUAACCCAAUUUUGAGCUUAAACGAUGAGUAUGACCUAUGAUCAAGUGAUCUCACUUGACUCCUAAGUCAAUAUACUCUAACAUAGGUGACUUUGUCGCCGACCAAUUCUAGAUGAAGUUCUUUUGUAUUCUUUUCUGUUCUCUUGCAUUAUCUCAUGCAUAUUUGUUUCCCCUUUCAAAAAAAAACUUCAUCUAGAUUUCUUUCUUUUCUUUUCUGUUUGCUCUGCAUUUCCUGCAUCCAAUUCAUUGCAUAUCUUUUAGUUAAUUCCUUGCAAAUCUUUAUGAGAUCUUACUAGUCUAGUGAGCUGAGGCGACAAGUGUUUUCUCUGCGAUGAACUCGGUCUCACCGAUUUGUUGUUUUCGGUCCAACCGAAUCCUUUCGGUACAACGGAAUCAUACCACUCGGUGCCACCGAUUUCACAACAGGAAAAACAUUUUGCUACUUAUUCUUCUUUAUCUUUUGAUCCAGCUCCACUCAAUGAAUCUUGUCCUCUACAAGCAUCACAUUUUUAUCAGUGCUUUGUGAUGUGACUCAAGGAUCAAACCCAUUCAUGACAAAUUCCAGAAGGCCCUUCUUGGAAAUUGAUGUCAAAGGGGGUGAGAGAGAUCACAUCAAAGCUUAGAGAGAUCACAUCCAAGCUUAUCACUUCCAAAGGGAGAGAGAGUAUCACUUCCAUAGGGGGAGAGAGAGAUCUCCAGGGGGAGAGAAUACUCAAGUAGAAAGUAUUUCUCAAGGAUCCCAGAUGCUUGGUGUUCAAGAGGAGAGAUGCCACAUGUCUUCUUGAGGGGGAAGACAUGUUCAUAUGUGCUUGUUUGCAUUAGCUUUGAUUUUGCUUUUGCUCUGAUUUUCUGUUCCCUAUCUUCUCCCAGUAUCCCAUUCUAGAUUCCUUAAAUUCAUUGCACAUCUUUACCUUUGGGGACAUGUCUAAUCCAAUGUGGUACUUAGUACUCACUCUCUACAUGUCAUCCCAGUCUUGGUAUUCUUGUGGUUUCUUCUGUUUGCUCUGGCUAGUAGGUGUAUCUGUGUUAUCUAACCUUGUUUACGCAGGUUCAUUCCAUCCUAAGCCAACUCAAGACCACAAGGUAAGCAUAUGCAUCAAAAUCAUGUGUAUGAGGAAUUUUUGCUGAUGUACAUACUGUUUGCAAGAAGGACUCAUGAGCACAAAGGUAUUCUUUAAUAUUCUUUGCUCCGAUGCAUAUGGACAAGAUACAUGUAACACAUUGCCUACUCUCUCAUGGUUAUGCUCUCACAUGCUUCUAUAUUUCAUAUUCACAUGAUUGCAUACAUGUAGGGGGAGCCUAUGCUUGUUACAUGUCUUUCCAAAGCUUUACUUGCCAUUCUCUUUAUCUUUGUCUAAAGCUUUGAUGUAUGUUGCCAUCAAUUACCAAAAAGGGGGAGAUUGAAAGCACAAGUGCUCCCUAGGUGGUUUUGGUAAUUAAUGUCAACAUAUCUCUUGUUGGACUAACACUUUUAUCUAGCAUAUUUCAGAAAAGUUCAACUAUGGAAUGGCAUGGACUAAAGGAUGUGGAACCCCUUCAAAAUGCUAAGGACAAAGGAUUGGCUCAAGCUUCAAGAUCAAGACUCUGCAUUUUAUGUUUUAGUGAUCCAAGAUCACAUUGAAUCUAUAGGAAAAGCCAAUACUAUCAAGAGGGGAUGAGGUGUUGCUUAAUGAGUUUCUUGCUCCACAGUGCUUAGUGAUAUGCCCCAAAACCCUCAACUACUUUCCCACAUCCACACAUAUGACCUAAACCUAAAGUCUAACUCGGCCCCACCGAUUCUUUCUAUCCGGCGCCACCGAGUUUAGAUGUCAUAGCCACUGCCACAAACCCUAGGAAAAUCGUUCUCACCGAUGGGGAUCUCGGUCUCACCGAGAUGGGAUUGUAAUCUCUAUGUGUAUGUCCAUUACCAAAAUCGGUCUCACCGAGUUUGAGCAAUCGGUACUACCGAGAUUACAAUGCAAACUCUCUCGUUAACUUAUUACCAAAAUCGGUCCCACCGAGUUUGAGUAAUCGGUCCCACCGAGUUUGCCAGACCAACUCUCUGGUUAGCUAAUUACCAAAAUCGGUCUCACCGAGUUUGUGUAAUCGGUCUCACCGAGAUUACGUUAUGCCCUAACCCUAACCAUAUUAGUCCCACCGAGUUGCAUUUCGGUCCCACCGAAAAUCCUAACGGUCACUAGGUUUACUGAUUGGUCCGACCGAGUUUCUUGAUUCGGUCCCACCGAGAUUGGUAAAUUGUGUGUAACGGUUAGAUUUUGUGUGGAGGCUAUAUAUACCCCUCCACCUCAUCUUCAUUUGUGGAGAGAUGUUGGGGAACAUAGCAGAAAUUCAAAAUUUUCCUAUGAGUCACCAAGAUCUAUCUAUGGAGAGACUAGCAACGAGAGAGAGGAGUGCAUCUACAUACCCUUGUAGAACGCUAAGAGGAAGCAUUCAAGAGAACGGGGUUGAGGGAGUCGUACUCGUCGUGAUCCAAAUCACCGAAGAUCCUAGUGCCGAACGGACGGCACCUCCGUGUUCAACACAUGUGCAGCCCGGCGACGUCUCCCAUGCCUUGAUCCAGCAAGGAGAGAGGGAGAGGUUGGGGAAGACUCCGUGCAGAAGCAGCACAACGGCGUGGUGGUGGUGGAGGAGCGUGGCACUCUAGCAGGGCUUUACGAAGCACUGCGAGAGAUGAGGAGGGAGAGAGGUAGGGCUGCGCAAGGGAGAGGUGGAAACUCAUGUGUUGGGCAGCCCCUAGACCUCAACUAUAUAUAGGGGAGAGGGAGGGGGCUGCGCCCCCUCUAGGGUUCCCACCCCAAGAGGUGCGGCAGCCCCUAGAUCCCAUCUAGGGUGGCGGCCAAUGGGGAAGAGGGGGAGACUUGCCCCCCAAGCAAGGUGGAGGCGCCCCCCUCCCCUAGGGUUUUCAACCCUAGGCGCCUUGGGCCCUGGUGGGGGGCGCACCAGCCCACCUGGGGCUGGUCCCCUCCCACACUUGGCCCAUGCAGCCCUCUGGGGCCAGUGGCCCCACCUGGUGGACCCCCGGGACCCUCCCGGUGGUCCCUGUACGUUACCGAUAGCACUCGAAACUUUCCCAGUGACCGUAUGAUGACUUCCCAUAUAUAAAUCUUUACCUCCGGACCAUUCCGAAACUCCUCGUGACGUCCGAGAUCUCAUCCGGGACUCCGAACAACAUUCGGUAACCACAGAUAAACUUCCUUUAUAACCCUAGCGUCAUCGAACCUUAAGUGUGUAGACCCUACGGGUUCGGGAACCAUGCAGACAUGACCGAGACGUUCUCUGGUCAAUAACCAACAGAGGGAUCUGGAUACCCAUGUUGGCUCCCACAUGUUCCAUGAUGAUCUCAUCGGAUGAACCACGAUGUCAAGGAUUCAGUCAAUCCCGUAUACAAUUCCCUUUGUCUACCGGUAUAGUACUUGCCCGAGAUUCGAUCGUCGGUAUCCCGAUACCUUGUUCAAUCUCGUUACUGACAAGUCUCUUUACUCGUUCCGUAACACAUCAUCCCGUGAUCAACUCCUUGAUCACGUUGUGCACAUUAUGAUGAUGUCCUACCGAGUGGGCCCAGAGAUACCUCUCCGUCACACGGAGUGACAAAUCCCAGUCUCGAUUCGUGCCAACCCAACAGACACUUUUGGAGAUACCCGUAGUGCACCUUUAUAGCCACCCAAUUACGUUGUGAUGUUUGGUACACCCAAAGCAUUCCUACGGUAUCCGGGAGUUGCACAAUCUCAUGGUCUAAGGAAAAGAUUCUUGACAUUUAGAAAAGCUUUAGCAUACGAACUACACGAUCUUGUGCUAGGCUUAGGAUUGGGUCUUAUCCAUCAUAUAAUUCUCCUAAUGAUGUGAUCCCGUUAUCAAUGACAUCCAAUGUCCAUGGUCAGGAAACCAUGACCAUCUGUUGAUCAACGAGCUAGUCAACUAGAGGCUUACUAGGGACAUGGUGUUGUCUAUGUAUCCACACAUGUAUCUGAGUUUCCUAUCAAUACAAUUCUAGCAUGGAUAAUAAAAAAUUAUCAUGAACAAGGAAAUAUAAUAAUAACCAUUUUAUUAUUGCCUCUAGGGAAUAUUUCUAAUAGUCUCCCACUUGUACUAGAGUCAAUAAUCUAGUUCACAUCACCAUGUGAUUGUAAUGAAUCAACACCCAUGGGGUUUGAUCAUAUCUUGCUUGUGAGAGAGGUUAUUAGUCAACGGAUCUGAACCUUUCAGAUCCGUAUGUGCUUUGCAAACCUCUAUGUCAUCUCCUAGAUGCAGCUACCACGCUCUAUUUGGAGUUAUUACAAAUAACCGUUCUACUAUACGAAUCCAGUUUACUACUCAGAAUAAUCCGGAUUAGUGUCAAAGUUUGCAUCUGCGUAACCCUUUACGACGAACUCUUUUACCACCUCCAUAAUCGAGAAAAUUCCUUAGUCCACUAGUUACUAAGGAUAAGUUUGACCGCUGUCCUGGAUCACCCUUGUACCCCUUGACUGACUCAUGGCAAGGCACACUUCCGGUGCGGUACACAUCAUAGCAUACUAUAGAGCCUACGUCUGAAGCAUAGGGGACGACCUUCGUCCUUUCUCUCUCUUCUGCCGUGGUCAUGUCUUGAGUCUUACUCAAUACUCACACCAUAUAACACAGCCAAGAACUCCUUUGCUGAUCUAUUUUGAACUCCUUCAAAAUCUUGUCACGGUAUGUCUUCAUUUGAAAGUACUAUGAAGCGUUUUGAUCUAUCCUUAUAGAUCUUGAUGCUCAAUGUUCAAGUAGCGUAAUCCAGGUUUUCCAUUGAAAAACACUUUUCAAAUAACCCUAUAUGCUUUCUAGAAAUUCUACAUCAUUUCCGAUCAACAAUAUGUCAACAACAUAUACUCAUCAGAAAUGCUAUAGUGCUCCCACUCACUUCUUUGGAAAUACAAGUUUCUCAUAAACCUUGUAUAAACCCAAAAUCUUUGAUCAUCUCAUCAAAGCGUAUAUUCCAACUCCGAGAUGCUUAAUCCAGUCCUUAGAAGGAUUGCUGGAGCUUUGCACACUUGUUAGCAUCUUUCAGGAUUGACAAAACCUUCUGGUUGUAUCACAUACAACCUUUCCUCAAGAAUAUCGUCGAGGAAACAAUGUUUUGACAUCCUAUCUGCAAGAUUUCAUAAAUCAUGCAGUAAUUGCUAAUAUAAUUCCAACAGACUCUUAGCAUCGCUACGAGUGAGAAAGUCUCAUUGUAGUCAACUCCUUGAACUUGUCGGAAAACAUCUUAACGACAAGUCGAGCUAUCUUAAUGGUGAUACUUACCAUCAUUGUCUGUCUUCCUUUUAAAAUCCAUCUGUACCAACAGCCUUACGACCAUCAAGUAUUUCUUCCAAAGUCUACACUUUGUUUUCAUACAUGGAUCCUCUCUCGGAUUUUAUGGCCUCAAGCCAUUUGUCGGAAUCCGGGCCCACCAUCGCUUCUCCAUAGUUCGUAGGUUCAUUGUUGUCUAGCAACAUGACCUCCAAGACAGGAUUACCGUACCACUCCGAAGCAGUACACGUCCUUGUCGACCUAUGAGGUUCGGAAGUGACUUGAUCCGAAGUUUCAUGAUCACUAUCAUCAGCUUCCACUUCAAUUGGUGUAGGUGCCACAGGAACAACUUCCUGUGCCCUGCUACACACUGGUUGAAGUGAUGGUUCAAUAACCUCAUCAAGUCUCCACCAUCCUCCCACUCAAUUCUUUCGAGAGAAACUUUUCCUCGAGAAAGGGCCCAUUUCUAGAAACAAUCACGUUUGCUUCCGGAACUGAGACAGGAGGUAUACCCAACUGUUUUGGGUGUCCUAUGAAGAUGUAAUUAUCCACUUUGGGUUCGAGCUUAGCAGGAUGAAACUUUUUCACAUAAGCGUCGCAGCCCCAAACUUUCAAGAAAGGUCAGCUUAGGUUUCUCUAAACCAUAGUUCACAUGGUGUCAUCUCAAUGGAAUUACGUGGUGCCCUAUUUAAAGUGAAUGCGGUUGUCUCUAAUGCCUAACCCAUGAACGAUAGUGGUAAUUUGAUAAGAGACAUCAUGGUAUGCACCAUAUCCAAUAGGUUGCGGCUAUGAUGUUCGGACACACCAUCACACUAUGGUGUUCCAGGCGGUAUUAGUUGUGAAACAAUUUCCACAAGGUCUUAAUUGUGUACCAAACUCGUAACUCAGAUAUUCAUCUCUAUGAUCAUAUCAUAGACAUUUUAUCCUCUUGUCACGAAGAUCUUCAACUUCACUCUGAAAUUACUUGAACCUUUCGAUAAUUCAGACUUGUGUUUCAUCAAGUAAAUACACUUAGCAUCUACUCAAAUCAUAUGUGAAGUAAGAACAUAACGAUAUCCAUUGCGUGCCUCGGCACUCAUUGGACAGCACACAUCAAAAUGUAUUACUUCCAACAAGUUGCUCUCUUGUUCCAUCUUACUGGAGAACGAGGCUUUCAGUCAUCUUGCCCAUGUGGUAUGAUUUGCAUGUCUCAAGUGAUUCAAAAUCAAGUGAGUCCAAACGAUCCAUCUACAUGGAGUUUCUUCGUGCAUAUAUACCAAUAGACAUGGUUCACAUGUCUCAAACUUUUCAAAAAUGAGUGAGUCCAAAGAUCCAUCAACUUGGAGCUUCUUCAUGCGUUUUAUACCAAUAUGACUCAAAUGGUAGUGCCACAAGCAGGUGGUACUAUCAUUACUAUCUUAUAUCUUUUGGCAUGAACAUGUGUGUCACUACGAUCGAGAUUCAAUAAAUCAUUCAUUUUAGGUGCAAGACCAUUGAAGGUAUUAUUCAAAUAAACAGAGUAACCAUUAUUCUCCUUAGAUGAAUAACCGUAUUGCGAUAGACAUAAUCCAAUCAUGUCUAUGCUCAACGCAAACACCAAAUAACAAUUGUUUAGGUUUAACACCGAUCCCGAUGGUAGAGGGAGCGUGCGAUGUUUGAUCACAUCAACCAUGGAAAUACUUCCAACACAUAUCGUCACCUCGCCUUUAGCUAGUCUCCGUUUAUUCCAUAGCCUUUUAUUUCGAGUUACUAACACUUAGCAACCGAACCGGUAUCUUAAUACCCUGGUGCUACUAGGAGUACUAGUAAAGUACACAUUUAAUACAAUGUAUCUCCAAUAUACUUCUGUCAACCUUGCCAGCCUUCUCAUCUACCAAGUAUCUAGGGUAGUUCUGCUUCAGUGACCGUUCCCUCAUUACAGAAGCACUUAGUCUCGGGUUUGGGUUCAACUCUGGGUUUAUUCACUGGAGCAGUAGCUGAUUUGCCGUUUCAUGAAGUAUCCCUUCUUGCCCUUGCCCUUCUUGAAACUAGUGGUUUUACUAACCAUCAACAAUUGAUGCCCCUUCUUGAUUUCUACUUUCGCGGUGUCAAACAUCGCGAAUAUUUCAAGGAUCAUCAUAUCUAUCCCUGAUAUGUUAUAGUUCAUCACGAAGCUCUAGCAGCUUGGUGGCAAUGACUUUGGAGAAACAUCACUAUCUCAUCUGGAAGAUCAACUCCCACUCGAUUCAAGUGAUUGUUGUACCUAGACAAUCUGAGUACAAGCUCAACGAUUGAGCUUUUCUCCCUUAAUUUGCAGGCUAAGAAAAUCAUCGGAGGUCUUAAACCUCUUGACGUGGGCACGAGCUUGAAAUCCCAAUUUCAGCCCUCGAAACAUCUCAUAUGUUCCGCAACGUUUCGAAAUCGUCGUUGAUGCCUCAAUUCUAAAUCGUUUAACAUUACUAAACUAUCACGUAGUUAUCAAAACGUGUAUGUCAAAUGUUUGCAACAUCCACAGACGACGCUUGAGGUUCAGCACACCGAGCGGUGCAUUAAGGACAUAAGCCUUGUAUGCAGCAAUGAGGACAAUCCUCAGUUUUCGGACCCAGUCCGCAUAAUUGCUACUACCAACUUUCAACUAAAUUUUCUCUUGGAACAUAUCUAAAAAAUUAGAACUAAAGCGCGAGCUACGACAUGAUUUGCAAAAACCUUUUGACUAUGUUCAUGAUAAUUAAGUUCAUCUUAUGAACUCCCACUUAGAUAGACAUCCCUCUAGUCAUCUAAGUGAUUACAUGAUUCGAGUCAACUAGGCCGUGUCCGAUCAUCAUGUGAGACGGACUAGUCAUCAUCGUUGAACAUCUUCAUGUUGAUCGUAUCUACCAUACGACUGAUGCUCGACCUUUCGGUCUCUUGUGUUCUGAGGCCAUGUCUGUACAUGCUAGGCUCGUCAAGUCAACCUAAGUGUUUCGUGUGUGUAAAUCUGGCUUACACCCGUUGUAUGUGAACAUUAGAAUCUAUCACACCCGAUCAUCACGUGGUGCUUCGAAAGAACGAACUUCCGCAACAGUGCACAGUUAGGGGGAACACUUUCUAGAAAUUUUAAUGAGGGAUCAUCUUAUUUACUACCGUCGUUCUAAGCAAAUAAGAUGCAUAAACAUGAUAAACAUCACAUGCAAUCAAAAAGUGACAUGAUAUGGCCAAUAUCAUUUUGCUCCUUUUGAUCUCCAUCUUCGGGGCUCCAUGAUCAUCAUCGUCACCGGCAUGACACCAUGAUCUCCAUCAUCGUGUCUCCAUGAAGUUGUCUCGCCAACUAUUACUUCUAAUACUAUGGCUAACGGUUUAGCAAUAAAGUAAUGUAAUUACAUGGCGUUGUUCAAUGACAUGCAGGUCAUACAAUAAAUAAAGACAACUCCUAUGGCUCCUGCCGGUUGUCAUACUCAUCGACAUGCAAGUCGUGAUUCCUAUUACAAGAACAUGAUCAAUCUCAUACAUCACAUAUCAUUCAUCACAUUCUUUUGGCCAUAUCACAUCACAUAGCAUACCCUACAAAAACAAGUUAGACGUCCUCUAAUUGUUGUUUGCAUGUUUUACGUGGCUGCUAUGGGUCUAUAGCAAGAACGUUUCUUACCUACGCAAAAACCACAACGUGAUAUGUCAAUUGCUAUUUACCCUUCAUAAGGACCCUUUUCAUCGAAUCCGAUCCGACUAAAGUUGGAGAGACUGGCACCCGCUAGCCACCUUAUGCAACAAGUGUAUGUCAGUCGGUGGAACCUGUCUCACGUAAGAGUACGUGUAAGGUCGGUCUGGGCCGCUUCAUCCCACAAUACCGUCAAAACAAGAUUGGACUAGUAACGGUAAGCAUAUUGAACAAAAUCAACGCCCACAACAACUUGUGUUCUACUUGUGCAUAGAAACUACGCAUAGACCUAGCUCAUGAUGCCACUGUUGGGGAACGUAGCAGAAAUUCAAAAUUUUCCUACGAGUCACCAAGAUCUAUCUAUGGAGAGACUAGCAACGAGAGAGAGGAGUGCAUCUACAUACCCUUGUAGAUCGCUAAGCGGAAGCGUUCAAGAGAACGGGGUUGAGGGAGUCAUACUCGUUGUGAUCCAAAUCACCGAAGAUCCUAGUGCCGAACGGACGGCACCUCCGUGUUCAACACACGUGCAGCCCGGUGACAUCUCCCAUGCCUUGAUCCAGCAAGAAGAGAGGGAGAGGUUGGGGAAGACUCCGUCCAGCAGCAGCACAACGGCGUGGUGGUGGUGGAGGAGCGUGGCACUCCAGCUGGGCUUUGCCAAGCACUGCGAGGGACGAGGAGGGAGAGAGGUAGGGCUGCACAAGGGAGAGGUGGAAACUCAUGUGUUGGGCAACCCCUAGACCUCAACUAUAUAUAGGGGAGAGGGAGGGGGCUGCGCCCCCUCUAGGGUUCCCACCCCAAGGGGUGCGGCAACCCCUAGAUCCCAUCUAGGGUGGCGGCCAAAGGGGAAGAGGGGGAGACUUGCCCCCCAAGCAAGGUGGAGGCACCCCCCUCCCCUAGGGUUUUCAACCCUAGGCGCCUUGGGCCCUGGGGGGGGGGGGGGGGGGGCGCACCAGCCCACCUGGGGAUGGUCCCCUCCCACACUUGGCCCAUGCAGCCCUCUGGGGCCAGUGGACCCACCUAGUGGACCCCCGGGACCCUCCCGGUGGUCCCGGUACGCUACCGAUAGCACCCGAAACUUUUCCGAUCACCAAAACAGGACUUCCCAUAUAUAAAUCUUUACCUCCGGACCAUUUCGGAACUCCUCGUGAUGUCCGGGAUCUCAUCCGGGACUCCGAACAACAUUCGGUAACCACAGAUAAACUUCCUUUAUAACCCUAGCGUUAUCGAACCUUAAGUGUUCGGGAACCAUGCAGACAUGACCGAGAUGUUCUCUGGUCAAUAACCAACAGCGGGAUCUGGAUACCCUUGGUGGCUCCCACAUGUUCCACGAUGAUCUCAUCAGAUGAACUACGAUGUCAAGGAUUCAAUCAAUCCCGUAUAUAAUUCCCUUUGUCUACCGGUAUAGUACUUGCCCAAGAUUCGAUCGUCGGUAUCCCGAUACCUUGUUCAAUCUCGUUACCAUCAAGUCUGUUUACUCGUUCCGUAACACAUCAUCCCGUGAUCAACUCCUUGACCACCUUGUGCACAUUAUGAUGAUGUCCUACCGAGUGGGCCCAGAGAUACCUCUCCGUCACACGGAGUGACAAAUCCCAGUAUCGAUUCGUGCCAACCCAACAGACACUUUUGGAGAUACCCGUAGUGCACCUUUAUAGCCACCCAGUUACGUUGUGACGUUUGGUACACCCAAAGCAUUCCUACGGUAUCCGGGAGUUGCACAAUCUCAUGGUCUAAGGAAAAGAUACUUGACAUUUAGAAAAGCUUUAGCAUACGAACUACACGAUCUUGUGCUAGGCUUAGGAUUGGGUCUUGUCCAUCAUAUCAUUCUCCUAAUGAUGUGAUCGUGUUAUCAAUGACAUCCAAUGUCCAUGGUCAGGAAACCAUGACCAUCUGUUGAUCAACGAGCUAGUCAACUAGAGGCUUGCUAGGGACAUGGUGUUGUCUAUGUAUCCACACAUGUACCUGAGUUUCCUAUCAAUACAAUUCUAGCAUGGAUAAUAAACAAUUAUGAUGAACAAGGAAAUAUAAUAAUAACCAUUUUAUUAUUGCCUCUAGGGCAUAUUUCUAACAAGAGAGCCAUCAGAACAAGCCUACACUUCCAGCAUCCUAUUUCUGAGAGAGAACUACCUACUCAUGUGUUGAGGCCAAGAUAUUCCAUUCCUACCAUAUGAAUCUUGAUCUCUAGCCUUCCCCAAGUUGCUUUCCACUCAAAUCUUCUUUCCACCAGAUCCAAAUUCUAUGAGAGAGAGUUGAGUGUUGGGGAGACUAUCAUUUGAAGCACAAGAGCAAGGAGUUCAUCAUCAACACACCAUUUGUUACUUCUUGGAGAGUGGUGUCUCCUAGAUUGGCUAGGUGUCACUUGGGAGGCUCCGACAAGAUUGUGGAGUUGAACCAAGGAGUUUGCAAGGGCAAGGAGAUCGCCUACUUCGUGAAGAUCUAUCGCUAGUGAGGCAAGUCCUUCAUGGGCGACGACCAUGGUGGGAUAGACAAGGUUGCUUCUUCGUGGACCCUUCUUGGGGAGCCCUCCGUGGACUCGUGCAACCGUUACCCUUCGUAGGUUGAAGUCUCCAUCAACAUGGAUGUACGAUAGCACCACCUAUCGGAACCACGACAAAAACAUCCGUGUCUCCAAUUGCGUUUGAAUACUCCAAACCCUUCCUUUUACAUUCUUGCAAGUUGCAUGCUUUACUUUCCGCUGCUCAUAUACUCUUUGCAUGCUUGCUUGUUAUGUAUUGUGAAUGUUAAACUUGUGCCUAAACUCCACUUAAACCUAAAGAAGUUAAAAACUGCAGCUUUGGUACUUAGUGUCUAAUCACCCCCCCCCCUCUAGACACCUUUUCUCGAUCCCUUUCACAGUCACAAUGCAUAUUGAUAUUAGACAGUACAUAUUUACUUAUAGACUCCACUUUUAAGUGUUUUAGUAUUCUACCUAUUUCCGAAAAGAUCCGUAUGACUCCUGAAUAAUAUUACCAAUCAUGAUUAAACAUUUCAGUUUUCCGAGUCUAAAUAUACCAGUCCCUAGCACACAUGUGUGAGGCUUGUGUAGUGAUUAUAUUAUAUAUGUGAGAUCAAUUUCCAAUCUUAAUCAUGUGGGUCAAUAGUCUGCAGGGGUGAUCCUGCAAAACAAACCCAGCUCUUACACCUUGUAUGUCCUGGAAAAAAUAUGUGCGUACAUAUAAAAUUUCAGUAGAGUUGACCCCAAUUAAUUCCUCUACUGUAUUCCAUCACAAUCGUCAUCGACACCUCGAGUAUUACUUUCUCGGUUGAAAUUUCCCAUCACAAACAUUAAUAAUAUGAAUAAUUCUACGUUGAAUUGAAUAAAUGACUACCAUGUUGAAUAAAUGUUGAAAGCCACAUAAAUAUCAAACAUCUCCCACUUGGCUGAAACAUGGUAAUCAAUAUAUGAAGUUCCAUGUGUAAACAUGUUUUGAAAAGAAUUCCUGAAUCUAGUCAGUGAAUCUGCACCACAUUAGUAUUGUUAUACAAAGAAAUCAACAUAUUCACCUGAGUUUAAUCAUUUCAGACCUCAUGUAUACAAUGAUAACUUCCUCAAUGUGUUUACUUUUAACCAUAGGCAUCAGAAUACUGGAAUAGGUGACAGGUUGUGAUGCACAUUGAACGAUUUUAUAUGAUGCGUGAGAUUCCCUUAACCACACCGCUUUACUUCCACUGCUUAAAUGCAAGAAUCAAUUCUGGUAGCUAAGGUUGAUAGCAUAACCAAGAUACAUACAAAUUCCAAUACCAUGUAUUAUACCCUUUUUCCACAGGAGUUCAAAGACAAUUCCUCAUUGUUUAUGAUUCUCCUUAUCAAGGUAUUUUAACUGGUUUGCAAUUUUUCCUAGAAAAAUGUAUCACAACACUCCCUAUGUAUUUCCACCCCCCAAAAAUCAGAAGCUUCAAACAUGCUUGUCAUGUGAAAGUUAGAAAAUGACCAAGCUCACACUUCCAUCAAUGUGACUUCAUCACUGCAAACAACAAGAACAUUGUUAACAUAUAUAAUAAUAAUGCAAAAUUCUUCAUUUGUAGAUGAUGGCCUUGCUUCAUUUUAAAAACCAUAUGACCUGCUAUUCCAUUGAUACAAAGCUUGCUAUAAGACAAUACAUUAAUAUAUUAAAUUAGCGAACCAUGUCUUUAUUUCCUCUUUUUCUAAAUUCCGGAGAAAGAGUUUCUCAGACGUGCUAUUUACGAUAUGAUAAGCAGGCGAUCAAUUAUGCUCCCCUCUCCCGUCAGCUCGAGGAAUCCUCGAGAGACAAGGAACCACCCAAAAAUGGCGCUUCUCCAAGCGAGACGAGAGCAACGAUACAACAUUAAGAAACAAUAAACCACGCCAAUAUUGAAUCAACGUGUCGUAUGCUCGAGAGAAAAUGUCAUCUACAGCCGCAACUUGCAAAUUUUUGGGCCCUGAAACGUCCGCGGAUGCGCCCGGGGAGAGUGACCUAGCGGGCCUCAAAUUUUACCAUUUGCAACCACAUGGCUUAUUUCCAAAACAACUAUUACAUGCAGGGCCAUGCGCAUCGAUCAUCACGUCCAUCUUGGUCCGGUGGGGCUGUCAAAACACACCAAAAAUUGCUCUUACUUAAUUUUCACAUCCGUAUUAGUCCCACCUCGCCGCUUGAUGAGCUAGUCGACCAAUUUAAAUAGCCGAGUUGUCCAGAAAUGUUAACCUUCUGACAUCAUUGUAUCCUUUCUUAAGAAGUUAGACUAUCACUAUGAAUCUUCUUUGCUUAUCACAGAGAAAAUUCAUAGUCAGGGACUAUCUCCUUACAAAGGAAACACUAAUGUCAGUACUUCUUUUUUUGAAUCUCAAUGUUUCGAUAAAAUUCGAUGAAUAAUAAUAAUAAUAAUCUACUGUCAUUGUAGCAGGGCUAUCAGCAUAUAUGAAUGGGGCGAACACUAGUUGAUGAAAUGCAAUUAGUGUCAAGCUAUCUCGUUCACACAGUAAGAAUUGAUUAACCUAUGCAACAACAGAAAAGCUUGUCUCCAUCCAUUGGCACGGCUAUUUAAGCCGAUCGACGUUUGCCUCACGUGCACUGACGAGAAAGGAAGGAACUUUGGAGGCUGCAUGUGGGACAACUACGAUCUGCAGUGGGGUCGGUGGACACUCCCACACCGUCUCAUAUGUGGGCUGGAUAUGUGGAUUGCUAGCCAGACCAUGCAUUUGAGAUUGGUUUUUUAUGACCAGAUUGGCCGUUAAUCCGAACGUUUGAAGCAAGUUUGAGAUGCGCGCCGGUAGACGCUCGCAUUACAUGAAGACGAUAGGCGCAUCGCUUUAUCGCGGUGGGGCGUGGGGUGGCCAUGCCGGUGCGGUGCGGUGGCUCAUGGAGUCAUGGCUCCUGCCGGCUCUCAGGUCCACGCGUCCACGUCCAGCUAGUCAUCGUCUGUCCCGGAUAGGGUUUGGUGGGGCCCGGGCCCGCCAGGCAAUGGCAGUGCAUGCAAACAAACGAACAAACGCUUGUCGACUCUGACCAGAUGCUGUUCACCGAGGGGAGAUGAAUGAAUGGGACAAAAUUACUGUUCUGACCUAUUUAGCUAAGAAAAUCCCGAUUUGACCUCGUUUCAAAAGAAAUUUCGUUUGUGACCUUUUUAGGUGAUGCCAACAUCCAUGGCGUCUGGGUUGCGAAGCAGACGCCAGGGGCCCUGGCGUCUGGUCCCUGGCCCGCACUGCCUGCCCGCCCGUUGACCUGCUGACGUGGCAAAGGGGCCAGACGCCAGGGUCCCUGGCGUCUGGCCCUGCUAACUAGAUAACCCACGGGAGAGUGUGUGGGACCCACCCCACACACUUUCCCCAAUCCUCAACCCGAGCUUGAAGAACACUUGGAGCUCUCAUACUCUCUCCUACCCCUCAAGCUCCCCCUCAAAUCCUCUCCAAAAGGUACAUCCCUUAGGUGGAUCUUUCCAUUACUUUGUUGCUCUUGUUAAUCUCCCCCAAAUCAUCCAAUUAUUUUUUGUUAAAUCUUGUUAUUUUGGUUGCAUUUUAUACAUGUUGGUGGAACCCUAGUUCAUGUUUUCUCCCUUAUGUUAGUGUGAAUGGCUUGAUUAUUGGUGAAUUGUAUGCAUGGUGUGCAGUAGGAAUGUAUGCUUGUUGAGUAGAAAGAUUGGGGGUUAGGGUUAGUUAGUGAUUAGGGUUAACUUUGCUUAGUGUGUGUUAAUUAGUGAUAAUUUGGUGGACAUCACCAAUAAUUUAGUGUUGAUAUGAUUUGGAUAUAAUAAUAUGUAUUUUGAUAAACACCAAUUCUCAUUGAAGUCUUAAAUGCAUUCAUGUUAUUUUUAGAUGGAGAGACUUGUUAAUGUUCAUUACAUGGACAAGGAGGCAUUCUUGAGUAACAAUGCCGACGCGGGUGAGGAACCAUUGGUUUUUGAUACAAGCCCUAGCUAUGAGGAUGUUGCUACAAAAGUGAGACAAGUCUUGAAGUGGAUGGACACCAAUGUUGAUGUUAAGUUAACAGGAAGGUAUGAUGUUGGAGUUGGAGCCAAAUCUCGCUUGAAAAGUAUGCCUAUCACCUCGGAUUUGCAUUGGGAUGUAUACAAGGAAAAAGUAUCCCAAUCGGAAGACAAGUCACUUGAAUUGUUUGCCACCAAGGUUGAAUCUCCUCGGUUUACCUUUGAUUUGAACCGGCAUGUCUCUUCCCCAAUGGAUGACAUGAGCGAGAGGACAAUGGUGCCACUUGUUGAGCAUAGGGUUGUGGUUGAUGCCCCCAAUGUUUAUCCCCCACCACGUCCCCGUGUACCAUCUAUCAAAGCAAAUGUGGUUGAGUUGUAUGCCCCCAAUGCUUCUAGCCAACCACCAACUAGCCAAGCAAAUGAAGUUGAGGUGAUUGCUAGUGACGGAGUAAUUCAAGAGGAUGAAGAUGCUUAUGAUGACGACGAAGAGCAAGAGGAAGGGUUUCAUGGUAAUGAUGUUGGAGACUUGGACGCGUACAUAACGCAAAAGGACAUGGAUCGUGACUUGCCUUUUAGGCGUCAAUAUGCGUAUGAUUCGGAUGACGAGGGUCCAGUUGAACAGUUGGACGAGGAUGGAUUCACAAAGGAGGAGAACCAAAUCCACUUUGAGCUGACGGGCUUACGAAAAAGAACUUACUUGUUUAAAGAUCUCAGCCUUGCCCAUAAAGCUGUUGUUGACGGUGGAAUGAGAAUGACGGUGAUUGAGCCAACACCAUGCCCGGAUCCAGGAGAACCAAGGGUGGAGAAUGAGGACGAGAAUGCUUAUUUGAAGAAAGGAGUGAAGUUUCUGAGCUUGCCUAUGCUGAAGUUUUGGUUGGCUGACUAUGCCAUUCGAAACCAUAGGCCAUUUUAUGUUGAGCACUCCGACAUGAAGUUGCGUUACAUCAUGGUGUGUGAGCAAGAAGGAUGCCCAUGGAAGGUUCGUGCAAGAAAGCUUAAAGAAACCGAAGAAUGGGUGUUAAAAAGUUGUGUUGCCACUCAUAGAUGCAAACCUCCAUCUAAACGACUUAGAAAGACACACCGUCAACUCACAUCUGAAUAUCUUAGAUACAAAUGGAUGAAAGACAUAGGCUUUGAUCCCACUGUGAAAGUGAGGUUUCUCAUGCGGAUGGUGAAAAAACAAUUUGGUUAUGAAGUCAAGUAUGGGAAGGCAUGGAAGGCAAAGGCAAAUGUUAUUAGGAUGUUGUAUGGUGGUUAUGAAGAAGCAUACAACCAGCUCCCAAGGUUGUUGGCCGCGAUUGCACAUAGGAACUCGGGCAUGUUUCAUGUGGUUGAGGAUCACGAGGGAGUGUUCCACCGUGCCUUCUGGAGUUAUGGACAAUGUGUGGAGGCGUUUCAGCAUUGUCGUCCGGUUUUGUCUAUAGAUGGCACGUUCUUGACCGGUAGAUACAAGGGCACACUAAUGGUAGCAAUGGUGCACUCAUCAAACGACAACGUGUUGCCGUGUGCAUUUGCUUUGGUGCCUUCCGAGCACCAAGACAACUAGGAGUGGUUCAUGGGUCAUGUUAGGCACAACGUGAUUGGGGCUAGGGAGGUAUGCAUCAUAUCGGACCGGCAUCAUGGCAUACUCAAGGCAAUGGACAUUGUUAUUCCAGGAUUUCCAAAGCUUCACCAUAGAUGGUGCAUGAGGCAUUUCGUGGCCAACUUUUACCGGGCAUGUAAGAGCAAGGAGCUCAGCAAAGACCUUACCCAUGUAUGUGUGGCCUUCACCACCCAAGGUUUCGAUGCUCGGUACAACAAACUCUUUGCAGCGGUGAACGUAGGGGGAAAAGACUUCUUAACUAGGAAUUUAAGCGAGAAGCACAAGUGGGCACGCGCUCAUGACGAUGGUGGUUGGCGAUAUGGCGACAUGACGAGCAAUCUGGUAGAAUGUUUCAACAAUGUGUUGAAGGGUGCUCGUGCAUUGCCGGUGACUGCAAUAGUGGAGUACACCUUCUUCAAGCUUAAUGAGUACUUUCAGAGGCAUUCUGAAGAGACUGCAAAAUGGAUAGGUGAAAAAAAAGAUUAUCCGGAAAAGGUUGAUGAAUGGUUGCAGUUACAAGCAAGCAAGUCUUCACGGCAACAAGUUAUCAUAUUCCAUAGAAUUGAAAUGAUCUAUCAAAUUGAUGAGCCAGGUGGCACAACACGAGACGGUAGAAAAUAUGGUGGUGCUGCAUUUGAGGUGAAACUGAAGACUCGGUGGUGCCAGUGCGAGAGGCCUAGUAAGUAUCAUUGGCCAUGCUCGCAUUUGAUAACGGCGGUGAAGGCGAGAAACAUACAUGUUUGUGAUGGAAAAACCGUGCGGAUGCAAGAGUUCCAUGUGGAAGCUACUAGGUUGACAUGGGCGCCAAGAUUUCACCCUUUCCUAGACCAAUCACAGUGGCCUGAGUACCAUGGCCCUCAUAUUAGGCCAGACCCUCUUCUGAAGGUGGAGACGAAGGGUAGCAGGAGAACUAAGAGGUUCAGGGGUGAUAUGGAUGACCUGGAUGGAUACACUGGCAUGAAACUAUUUGGUAGCGGUCAUUUCAUGGAGGCUCCUGACACUAUCAACUGUGGGGUGUGCGGUGAAGGGGGACACAAUGAGCGGACAUGCAAGAAUAAGAAAACCAAAAAAAACAAGUCGUGGAGGCGGCACCGAUGGUGAACGAGGUGGAAUAGGUGACGGUGGUGGUGGUCGAGGAAGCACAAGUGUCAGAGGUGGUAGUGGUGGUCGUAGAGGGAGCACAAGUGCUAGAGGUGCUAGUGUUCGUAGAGGGAGUAAAAGUGCUAGAGGUGGUGGUCGAGCUAGCACAAGUGCUAGAGGUGGUGGUCGAGCAAGCACAAGUGCUAGUGGUGGUGGUCGAGCUAGCACAAGUGCUAGAGGUGGUGGUCGAGCUAGCACAAGUGCUAGAGGUGGUAGUCGAGCAGGCACAAGUGCUAGACGUGGUGGUGGUCGGAGAGGAAGCACAAGUGCUAGAGGUGGUGGUGGUCGUAGAGGAAUGGUUGAUAAAGGAUCGGCCUUCGGUUAUUUGCUUAAUCCAGAUGGUUGAUCUAAUAAUAAUGGUAUAUUAUUUGUUCAUACAAUUCCUAGCAUUUAUUCAUUUAUUGUAUUUAUGCAUUUACUCUCUUUAUGUCUUGUGCUGACAAUUGUUCUUUUUGUAGGCAUGGCUUCAUCCGGUUCCAGGACAAGGCCGGCGUGCGCGGACCAAGAGGACAUGCCGAAGACGUGGAUGGAGGCUAGUUUGGACAAGGAGAAGGAGAAGGAUAUGCCCACACCAUCAUGUUGGUCUAGUGAUGUUUGCAAGCUGAAGGUGUCCACUGACCGCAACAAGUCAUGGACAGAAGGUAGAAGGUUUUUCGUGUGUCCCAACUUUGCACAUGAUCGUUGAAGGCCAACUAACGCAUAUGACAUACCACUGGUAUGUUAGGUGUGCAUACAAAAAACAUCAACAAGUUGUCACUCAUAUGUCUAACAAAAACAUGGUUUAUAUGUAGUCCCCUCCUCCACUUUGCAAGUACUUCACUUGGAUAGAUCACGAGGUACCAAAAGAUGUCCAAGAGGACCAAUGUCGAGAUUGGUUACGAAGGCAGCACCUAUUCGAGGAGUCCUAUGCACGGGGAUUGGAGCGGGAGCGUAGUGAGAAGGAGGCUCGUGAGGCAAGAAGCGUGAGGAAGAGAGGGCACGCAAAGAGAAGGAGGCUCGUCAAGAAGAGAGGGCAAGAAAACUUGCAAGGGCUCGCGAUGCACGAGAGGAGGACGAGGCACGUGACAAGAAGGGAAAGUGGCCCCGUACUACUCAGUAGACAAAUGGAAAGGCACCAGCGUCGAUGAUGAACUGUCGAGACUUUGUUUAAUGUAUGAACUUGUUAUUCGAGACCUUGUGUGGUCAUGAACUACUUAUGUCAUUCGAGACAUCGUGUGUGAACUUGUUAUUCGAGACCUUGUGUGGUCAUGAACUACUUAUGUCAUUCGAGAUAUCGUGUGUGAACUUGUUAUUUGAGGCCUUGUGUGGUCAUGAACUACUUAUGUGCAACCUAUUUGAAAUUGUAUGCAAACUAUGCUAUGUUCAGAUUUUUGUGUGUGUGCACUAGUCUGGAAAUUAGCACAACCAGACGCCAAGGGCCCUGGCGUCUGGAUUCGUAUCCAGAGACCCAGAUGCCACGGUCCCUGGCGUCUGGUAAACUAACCAGAGAGCAUUUUUGAUAUUUUGGAAUUUGCACACCCAGACGCCAAGGUCCCUGGCGUCUGGUUUACUAACCAGAGAGCAUUUUUGAUAUUUGGGAAUUUGCACGCCCAGACGCCAAGGUCCCUGGCGUCUGGUAAACUAACCAGAGAGCAUUUUUGACUUGCAUUGCUACAGGAAACCAAGUUAUAUGUGAUGUUCAUGUCGUUUCAACUAUCGUGGACCAUCGUGGUCAUGAACUACUUAUAUAAUUCGAGACAUUUGUGUAAUUUGAGAUUGUGUGAUGAACUUCUCAUUCGAGACUAUUUGUGUAAUUUGAGAUUAUGUGAUAACUAUGUUUGUCAUUUCCUAUUAUGUGAACACUAAUGUUUGUCAUUCGAUACUAUAUGUGUUUGCUAGAACAAAAUAUCUAUGUCAUUCGAUACUAUAGGUGUUUGCUAGAACAAAAUAUCUAUACUAUACCGUGACUACUAGAACAAAAUAUCUACUAGGACAAAAUAUGAACAAAAUGGAAAAACUACUACACCAGGGCCAGACGCCAGGGUCCCUGGCGUCUGGGUGCCCUGUUUCUGCUGUCCAAUGCUCUGCUUCUGCUUCCAGUCGACCACCAGACGCCAGAGAUCGUGGCGUCUGGUCCCCUGACUUCAAGACAGACGCCAAGGACCCUGGCGUCUGGGUCCCCUGUAUAUUUCAACAUUAUUUUGGACUUUUUGUUUCACACAAGAAUAUAGCACAUAUAUAAUAUAUGACAGGUUCAUAGAACACAGAAGAUAGCACAUUGGUUAAAACUUGCAUACAAACGACAACAAGUCCACAGAUCACGACAAAUUCAUGCAUACAUAACACACCAAGUGCAUACAUAACACACCAAAUUCAAGACAACCUAAAAAUAAACACACCAAACUUGCAUACAAAGUUUUUAGCACGACACCAAGUUCAUGAAUACAAACGCCACCUAGUUCAUGCACUUCCAAACAAGAAGCUCACUUCCUCCUUCCUCUCUUCACGAUAGUUGCAAGUGUAGGCUCCUCUUCACUAGCCUCCUCCUUCGCCUCAAUGUUGGCCUUAUAUCUUUGCAUUCCUGUUGGGAUAAGUUGAUGAGGAUACUACGGACUAUGGAAUUGUGUGUUCCAUGUCUUCUUUCUACCUUUCUUGCCUGGUGUCUUAGCUAUGGCUUUGCCUUUCCUAGAGCGAGCAUUGCCUUGUGUCGGUUGUGAUGGUUGUGGAGCAUCAACAUCAUACUCAUGAUCCUCUUGUUGUGUUGCAUCAUACUCAUGCUCCUCAUGAUGUGUUGGCUCCUCUUGAUGUGUUGGCUCCUCUUGAUGUGCUGCCUCCUCCUCCAUGUCAUCAUCGUUUUGGAGUAAACGCCGUCUAUGAGCUCUGGCGGCGCGGGUACCAGGUGCGUACACGUCACUGGAACCGUUUCUUGAACUUCUGCAACAACACAAAAUAUGCUAUGAUAUGAGAUGCAAAUGAAUAAUCCGUGAAAAGAAACUUUUCUAAUAUAUUGGUCACACCUCCAUCGUGCUCCUAAGAGUUCUCUCAGAUAAUCCACCACCAAGUGGAUGACUCAGUGCAACAUUGGCAUCGUUGACGCAUAGAAGCAACUCUCGUCCCUGUAAUUCAUGAACACACCAAACUUAUGUAUUUGAAAGAAGACAACAUGAUGCAAAUAUGUUAGAAUAGGUCAAACAGACUACCAUUUCGUCAUGCAUCGGUGCGUAGUCAACAUGAGCCCCUCUGGUGUCUCUCACAGCCGUGUUGAAGGUAUGAUAACCUUCUGCAGUCUCCAGGUCUUCAGACACCAACUCCGACCACUCCUCGUGAGUCCAACCUGGCUUCAGCUUUAACCGGUAACGAUCCGCAUACCACACUUGAUACUUCUGAUAUGCUAACUGAUUGUGAGGUCUAUUCUCUGAUUGCACUAGUGUGUCUCUUUGAUUCCAAAUUUCUAUCCAUGCAUGGUGUUUGUUUGCCCAAUCCGAUAUAUCCUGAUUGUUCCUUCGAUCGAACCUACAAAUCAUGCACGGUACAAAGCAUUAGCAAACAUUGACUUAUUCAAUGCUCUACUACAUACUCAAGGCAUGCUUGCUUACCGAUGCAGAGAUAGCAUUUGCUCUUUGCUCUCCUCAAUUGGAAUACCUUGUCUUCUUCCAAAUUGUCUUGCCACACGGUCUACAAAGUGCCACUCGACUGCAAAGAAGCAUAUCAUUGGGCACCUCGCCCGCCAAAGAUGGCUAUCACGCGUGCACAUCUCAUUAAGAUCAAAGUCACGAUCUUGCACAUAAGGGAACCAAUAUACCUGCAAAACAAAGAGAUACAUUGUUAGCUGCAUAAGCUUCAUUCUUGACUAAAUUUUAUCUCAUCGAACUUCUCAAAACCUGCUCAGCAGUCAAGGUGUCCAGCUCGUUCAUAUAGCACUUGUAUCGCACAUGCGAGCUUCCUGUGUAGACUGUCACUUGUUCCCAAUAGUAAGCAAGCGUAGGGCGCCGAUAUGGAUAAUCAUCAUGCAAGCCGUCAUGAUUACCCCGUGGGUUUGCCAUGAGGUGGUUCUUGAAAUCGGGCCGUCCAACCGGGAUCCGCUCCCACAUCCACACGGAUAGGCUCCAAACAAACCCAGACAAUGAGGAUGUAUCUCCCUUCCUCCGACACGCCAAGUCAAGCUGCAAUCAAACAAACAUGUUAGAUAUGGAGGCGCAUGACAAAUGCAAGAUAAAUGGUAGCAAAUAUCUCUUACCUGACGAUACAAAUAUGCUAGUGCGGCCGAACCCCAGCUAUACUGGGUAUCCCAAUUAUCGAGUAGCUCCAAGAACAUCCAGAGGGCUGAGUUCCCGGUUGCAUCUGAGAAGACUACCUUGGUUAGUACAUACCAAAGAUAGGCCUGAUGGGGUCAUGUACCUAGGGUAGGGUCAUGGACCUGAUCUAAGUACCUUACCCAAGGACACCCUUAGAAGAGGUCGCCUUCCAGUCGACCAACGAGGGACUCACUCGACUGACUUGAAGGACUCGACCACAAAGACUCACUCGACCACCAGGAGGUCAAGAGGCAUUCUGCACUGCAACGGCCUGUAAUUAAGUAGACUUUAUGGCAGUAAAGACACUUUAUGUGAGGCGUUAUCAGUAACGCCCCGGACUUAACUCACCUUAAAACCCUCUCCUACGUGGGCUGACUGGGGUCUUGGCGCACUCUAUAUAAGCCGCUCCCCUCCACAGGUAGAGGGGUUCGGCACCUUGUAACUCAUAUACUCAUAAUCCACUCGACCGCCUCCGGGCUCCGAGACGUAGGGCUAUUACUUCUUCCGAGAAGGGCCUGAACUCGUACAUCCCUUGUGUUUACAACCUCUCCAUAGCUAGGACCUUGCCUCUCCAUACCUACCCCCCACUCUACUGUCAGGCUUAGAACCACGACAGUUGGCGCCCACCAUGGGGCAGGUGUUUUAGCGAUUUUGUGGAGAAGUUGCGAUUCUUCCGAGUACUUUCAUCAUGGUGUCUGCUGGAGUUUUGGUCAAAGGUCGAGAGAUCUGUCUUGGCACUCUCACCUUCAUCGCCGACGACUCCGCCUGGCUCCAGGAGGCUCCACUCGACGUUGAUGCGCUCCCCGUCCGCGGUGCGACGCAUUUUCGCGCAUGUGUCUGCGGCGUUCUGCUGCGGCAACCGUCGACCCCGUAUCGGACGACUCCUCCAUCGUCCACCCUCCCGGUCUCCCGCCAGCGCAAGCGCUCGGGCCGGUCGAGGCUUCAGCGAUGGAUGAGGCACGCGGUGGCUCGCCAAUCGACCACCACCCAAGUUGCGGCAAUCGAGCCCGACGAAUCUCUCUACGGCUUGUUCGAUCUGUCGACUGGCUCCGUAGAGACUGCAUCCGAGUGCUCCAGCGGCGGAAAUCUUGAUGGUCGACGGGCCCCGCAGUCCCCCUGGCUUCGCCCGUGAUGGUGGAGCAGGUGACGGAGGCGACCCCGCACGAGGCCACGAAGAGUACCAGCCCGAGCCACUCGACUCUCUGCAAAGAGAGGAACUUCGCCGCAGGAACGUGAAUGCUCUGCGUACUCCCAUCGCAGGAGAAACCCCCGAGGCUCGUGCCUUGGAGGAGGCGCGUCUGGCCAAUUUGGCCGAACGCACUCGACUGGAGAAUCUUCAGCGAGCACUCGACGAGCGCGCGCGGCAACGAGUUCCUGACCCCAGUCGACGUCAACUCUUCCCGCCGACUCAGGUAUAUCGAACCCCAAUCCAGAAUUUAGCAGCUGCGACCCGUAUAGCAGAGUCCAUCCAGCCUUCGCAGUCGGAAGCUGGCAGAGGUUUGCUGCAGAUCAGGGAUCUGCUCCGGGCAGCAGGAGAUCAGAAUUCAGCCGUGUCUCAGUCGCGCAACAGAAUUCACAGUCGAUCCGUCACUGUGAAUACGGUUCAGUCGGCUCACAGCCCCAGAUCGCCUCCGCGGCGUGAAGGGCGCGAGAAUCGGCGAGAUCAAUAUGGCGACCGACUCGACCGAGAUGAUAGGCGUCGAGUGCCCAAUUCCCCUCCGAGGGGUGGGUCUUACGCUCCUCAGCAGCAAGAUGACAGGCGUCAGUACAGUACAGGGCGAAGGGUUCCAGUCGACCCCAGAGAACCAGGCUUCGACGCGCGAUCCAUUAUCGUGCAAGGUUUGGUCGACCGGAACAGAGCCCAUCGAGGCAGACUCGACAGAGAUGCACCCACAAGCAGUCGAGUGCAUGUUUCUGGUCCUGAAUGUUUCAGCAGAGCUAUCAGAGCCGCAGUUAUCCCUCCCAAUUUCAGGUUGGCAACAGGAGUCAGCAAGUUCACUGGUGAGUCUAAGCCUGAAACUUGGCUUGAGGACUACCGAGUGGAAGUUCAGAUUGGUGGUGGGAACGACGAGGUGGCCAUGAAGCAUUUACCCCUCAUGCUGGAAGGUUCUGCCAGGGCAUGGUUAACUCAAUUACCGCCUAGCAGCAUUUACACUUGGGAAGAUUUGUCCCGAGUAUUCAUCAGAACGUUUGAAGGAACUUGCAAGCGACCAGCUGGACUGACAGAGUUGCAAGUCUGCGUGCAGAAGACCAAUGAGACUCUCAGAGAGUAUAUUCAGAGAUGGAUCACUUUGCACCACACUGUGGAGAAUGUGUCUGAUCAUCAGGCAGUCUGCGCCUUCAAAGAUGGUGUCAAGAACAGAGAACUGAGUUUGAAGUUUGGUCGAACCGGUGACAUGACCUUGAGUCGGAUGAUGGAGAUUGCUACCAAGUACGCCAACGGCGAAGAAGAAGACCAACUCCGAAGCGGCAAGCACAAGCCGAGUCAGUCGGAAAAAGGAAACACCAGUCGGAAACAGAAGCGGAAGGCUGAACCGGCAGCUCCAGGAGAGGCUCUGGCCGUGACUCAGGGAAAGUUUAAGGGGAAACCAAAAGGAUCCUGGAACCCCAAGAAGGUAAAGGAUAAAGAAGGGAACAACGUAAUGGAUAUGCCAUGUCACAUCCACACGAAGAAAGACGAAGAGGGGAAUAUCAUCUACCCGAAGCACACCACUCGCCAAUGUCGACUCCUGAUCCAGCAGUUUCAGGGAAAACAGUCUAAGGACAAGGAGAAGGAGUCGGACAAGGCUGAAGACAAGGAGGACAGUGAGGAAGGAUAUCCGCAUAUCAACUCCACUCUGAUGAUCUUUGCAGAUGUGGAAAGCAGGAGUCGACUGAAAGUCAUUAACCGAGAGGUGAACAUGGUUGCCCCAGCAAAAGCAAAUUAUCUGAAAUGGUCUCAAAUACCCAUCACAUUCGAUCAAUCUGAUCACCCGACUCAUAUUGCCACCCCUGGGAGGCAAGCUUUGGUGGUCGAUCCAGUUGUUGAAGGCACUCGACUGACAAAAGUGCUGAUGGACGGUGGAAGCGGGCUGAAUUUGUUGUAUGCAGACACACUGAAAGGAAUGGGCAUUCCGAUGUCCCGACUGAGCACUAGUAACAUGAGCUUUCAUGGAGUUAUACCAGGGAAGAAAGCCGAGUCACUCGGCCAAAUAGCUUUGGACGUGGUGUUUGGUGAUUCGAAACAUUUUCGCAAAGAAAAGUUGACGUUUGAGGUCGUGGAUUUUCAGAGUGCAUAUCAUGCCAUUUUGGGGAGACCAGCUUACGCACGGUUCAUGGCUCGACCAUGUUACGUGUACCUCAAAUUGAAGAUGCCCGGCCCCAAAGGAGUGAUCGCUGUCACCGGUGAUCGGAAAAAGGCAGAAGAGUGCUUUCAGAAGGGCUCAAAGAUUGUCGAUUCCCAGGUGACAGCGGUCGAGUUCGAGGAAUACAAGCAAAACGCAGAUCCGAGUGACUUGCUGCGAUCAAAGAAACCCGCCACAGAGUCUGCAUUCCAGUCGUCCGGUGAGACGAAGCCUGUUCACAUUCACCCGACCGACCCCGAUGCAGCUCCGACCCGCAUCUCCACAACACUCGACCCAAAAUAGGAAGAAGCGCUCAUCCAGUUCCUCCGUGAGAACUGGGACAUUUUUGCAUGGAAGCCCACUGACAUGCCAGGUGUUCCCAGGGGACUGGCUGAGCAUCGCCUAAGAGUCGACUCGUCUGCAAAACCAGUCAAAGAGCAUCUUCGGCGGUCCGCCGUCCAGAAGAGAAAAGCCAUUGGUGAGGAAGUGGCUCGACUGUUGGCGGCAGGAUUUAUCCGAGAGAUAUACCACUCCGAGUGGCUCACUAAUGUCGUCAUGGUUCCUAAGAAGGACAAGUCGCUCCGAAUGUGCAUUGAUUUCAAGCACAUCAACCGGGCCUGCCCGAAAGAUCAUUUUCCUCUCCCUCGCAUAGAUCAAAUUGUUGACUCGACCGCGGGAUGCGAGAGGCUGUCUUUUUUAGAUGCCUACUCUGGGUACCACCAGAUCCGUCUGUACGGACCCGACGAGGUAAAAACAGCUUUCAUCACUCCAUUCGGGUGCUUCUGCUAUAUCACCAUGCCAUUCGGCCUCAAGAAUGUCGGAGCCACAUUUAUGCGAAUGAUUCAGAAGUGUUUACUCACUCAAAUCAGUCGGAAUGUGGAAGCAUAUAUGGACGAUAUCGUUGUCAAGUCACGAAAAGGUUUCGACCUGCUCGCUGAUCUCGCUGAAACAUUUGCUAACCUCAGAAGAUAUGAUAUCAAGCUCAAUCCAUCAAAGUGCACAUUUGGAGUUCCUGGUGGCAAGUUACUCGGUUUUCUCGUUUCCGAACAGGGAAUCAACGCUAACCCAGAGAAGAUUGGCACUAUUCUCCGAAUGAAACGCCCUGUGCGAGUGCACGAUGUCCAGAAGCUUACUGGAUGCUUGGCCGCAUUAAGUCGAUUCAUCUCACGACUCGGUGAAAAGGCAUUGCCUCUUUACCGACUGAUGAAGAAGACAGACAAGUUCGAGUGGACUCCAGAAGCUGAUGCAGCGUUUGCCGAGCUAAAAGCUCUGCUCUCCACCCAGCCGGUGCUUGCUGCUCCAAUCAGCAAAGAGCCUCUGUUGCUCUAUAUCGCAGCCACAGGACAAGUCGUCAGUACUGUGCUUACGGUCGAGCGGGAAGAAGAAGGAAAAGCUCUCAAAGUUCAGCGCCCAGUGUAUUAUUUGUCUGAAGUCUUGACUCCGUCCAAGCAGAGAUAUCCUCAUUAUCAGAAGCUUGUGUAUGGAAUAUACAUGACCACAAAGAAGGUUGCUCAUUAUUUUUCUGAUCAUUCCAUCACAGUCGUCAGCGACGCUCCACUAUCAGAGAUUUUGCACAAAAGAGAUGCAACUGGUCGAGUGGCCAAAUGGGCGAUUGAACUUCUUCCCCUUGAUAUCAAGUUUGAGGCAAAGAAAGCCAUUAAGUCCCAGGCAAUAGCAGUUUUCCUCGCCGAGUGGAUUGAACAACAGCAGCCUACUGAAGUUCACUCGGAGCAUUGGACCAUGUUCUUUGAUGGCUCUAAGAUGUUGAAUGGUUCCGGUGCUGGGGUUGUCCUGGUUUCCCCCAGAGGAGAUAAGCUCAGAUAUGUGCUCCAGAUUCACUUUGAUUCCUCCAACAAUGAGGCAGAAUAUGAGGCCCUCUUAUAUGGGUUGCGCAUGGCCAUUUCACUCGGCGUCCGUCGCCUGAUGGUCUAUGGCGACUCGGAUUUAGUGGUCAACCAGGUGAUGAAAGAGUGGGACGUGAGAAGCCCAGCCAUGACUGGAUACUGAAGUGCAGUGAGGAAGCUGGAAAAGAAGUUCGAGGGGUUGGAGCUCCAUCAUAUACCCCGACUGAAAAAUCAAGCAGCUGAUGAUCUAGCAAAGAUAGGUUCCAAGAGAGAAGCCAUUCCGAGUGGUGUGUUCUUGGAGCAUAUACACACUCCGUCAGUCAAAGAAGAUCCUUUCACCGAAGAAACUCCACAGCCCAAGAGUGCCACAGAUCCGACUGAGAUUGAGGUCCCAGCGGUGGUCGACUUGAUCAUGGAGGUCUUGGUGGUCAUUCCCGACUGGACAGUUCCAUACGUCGCGUAUAUCCUGAGAAAAGAGCUUCCGGAGGAUGAGGAAGAGGCUCGACAGAUCGUCCGUCGAUCUAAGGUCUUUACCGUAAUCAAAGGACAAUUGUACAGAGAAAGCGCGACUGGAGUUGGUCAGAAGUGCAUAACACCAGAAGAAGGUCGACUCAUCCUCAAUGAUAUCCACUCGGGAACCUGUGGUCAUCAUGCGUCCUCUCGGACCAUCGUGGCCAAAGCAUACCGAUCCGGAUUUUACUGGCCAAAGGCGAAUGAGAUGGCAAAAGAGAUAGUGGAUAAGUGCGAGGGAUGUCAGUUCUACUCGAAUAUGUCGCACAAGCCUGCGUCGGCUCUGAAGACCAUCCCACUCGUCUGGCCUUUCGCAGUAUGGGGACUGGACAUGGUCGGUCCUUUGAGAACAGGACGAAGUGGCUUCACGCAUGUACUGGUGGCAGUCGACAAGUUCACCAAGUGGAUCGAGGCUAAACCAAUCAAGAACCUUGACACCGGUACUGCUGUUAGCUUCAUCAGGGAACUAAUAUUCAGAUAUGGAGUCCCGCACAGCAUCAUUACGGAUAAUGGGUCGAACUUUGACUCGGAGGAAUUCAGAGAUUUCUGCAACUCCCAAGGCACACGGGUCGACUACGCUUCAGUCGCCCAUCCGCAGUCGAAUGGACAAGCAGAGCGAGCUAAUGGACUGAUUCUUAAGGGAUUGAAGCCCCGACUGAUGCGUGAUCUCAAACACGCGGCUGGAGCUUGGGUCGACGAACUUUCCUCAGUGCUUUGGGGGCUGCGGACCACACCUAAUCGGUCGACCGGAAGAACUCCAUUCUUCUUGGUCUACGGAGCUGAAGCAGCCUUGCCGAGUGAUCUUCUCCACAAUGCUCCUCGAGUUGAAAUCUACAACGAAGCAGAGGCUGAACAAGCGCGACAGGACGCAGUCGACCUUUUAGAGGAAGAAAGGGAGAUGGCUCUGAUCCGGUCGACCAUCUACCAACAAGAUUUGCGUCGUUUCCACGCUAGAAAUGUGAGAGGUCGAGCCUUCCAGGAAGGAGAUUUAGUUCUCUGAGUGGAUCAGCACAAACCACACAAGCUUGCUCCUUCUUGGGAAGGUCCCUUCAUCGUCACCAAGGUUCUCCACAACGGGGCGUACCGUCUUUACAACGUCGAGCAUAAUAUCGACGAGCCCCGAGCUUGGAACGCGGAACUACUCCGCCCAUUUUAUACUUAAGUUUUAUCACUCGGAUGAGUUGCAAUAAAGUACUUUUGUAGUUCAUGGACCUCAAAAUAAUAGUGUCAUAGUUCCUCCAUAAUUUCUGUCACUUUUUAUUUUUGUCCAAUAAAAUUCCCCCUCAGUGGGUGACUUAGCCGCGAAUCCGUUUCGCCUAAGUUUGUAAAAAUCCUACCGAGUGAUGAGCCAGACUCCCACUCGGAGGCUUAGCCGCGAAUCCGUUUCGCCUAAGUUUGUAAAAAUCCUACCGAGUGGUGAGCCAGACUCCCACUCGGAGGCUUAGCUGCGAAUCCGUUUCGCCUAAGUUAUCAAAAUCCUACCGAGCGGUAAGCCAGACUUCCACUCAGAGGCUUAGCUGCAGUCCAAGGACUCGCCUAAGUUAUAAAAAUCCUACCGAGUGAAGAGCAAACCUCUCACUCGGGGGCUUAGCUGCAGUCCAAGCACUCGCCUAAGUUAUAAAAAUCCUACCGAGUGAAGAGCAAACCUCUCACUCGGGGGCUUAGCUGCAGUCCAAGCACUCGCCUAAGUUACAAAAAUCCUACCGAGUGAAGAGCAACCCUCUCACUCGGAGGCUUAGCUGCAGCCCAGUGCUAGCCUAAGUUAUCAGAAUCCUACCGAGUGGUAAGCCAGACUUUCACUCGGAGGCUUAGCUGCAGCCCAGUGCUAGCCUAAGUUAUAAAAAUCCUACCGAGUGAAGAGCAAACCUCUCNNNNNNNNNNNNNNNNNNNNNNNNNNNNNNNNNNNNNNNNNNNNNNNNNNNNNNNNNNNNNNNNNNNNNNNNNNNNNNNNNNNNNNNNNNNNNNNNNNNNNNNNNNNNNNNNNCUUAGCUGCAGUCCAAGCACUCGCCUAAGUUGCAAAAAUCCUACCGAGUGAAGAGCAACCCUCUCACUCGGAGGCUUAGCUGCAGUCCAAGCACUCGCCUAAGUUACAAAAAUCCUACCGAGUGAAGAGCAACCCUCUCACUCGGAGGCUUAGCCGCAGUCCAAGCACUCGCCUAAGUUAUAAAAAUCCUACCGAGUGAAGAGCAAACCUCUCACUCGGGGGCUUAGCUGCAGUCCAAGCACUCGCCUAAGUUACAGAAAUCCUACCGAGUGAAGAGCAACCCUCUCACUCGGAGGCUUAGCUGCAGCCCAGUGCUAGCCUAAGUUAUCAAAAUCCUACCGAGUGGUAAGCCAGACUUUCACUCGGGGGCUUAGCUGCAGCCCUGUGCUCGCCUAAGUGGACUAAAGAAUAAGUCGAUUGCAGUAAAGGCGCCUUGCUUUGAACCUGCAAAAGACAUUUCGAGCCAAAAGCAAUCGUAUUCAAGCACCAAAUUCAAGUUUGAAUCAAUAUCUAAAGGAACCGAAAGUGCUCAGGCGUUAAGCAUGUUAAGGUUUAUCGGUUACAAUUCCACUCGGCAUACCGAGGCAAAUUUAAAGCGUCGAGCCAGAAGAAGUUUUUUACACCUCCUGUGGAGGGCUGGAAGGUGCAACGAAUUCAUCAAGGUCAAUUCCGUCGGCGAUCCGAGUGGCAGCCGCAAGGAAAGUUUCCAUAAAGGACCUGAAGUCGUGUUUCUUGGUGUUGGCCACCCGAAGGGCCGCCAGCUUCUCUUCUCGCGCAUCUUUACAGUGGAAUCGGGCCAGACACAGAGCAACAUCUGCACCACACCGAGCCGAAGACUUCUUCCACUCCUGCACUCGACCAGGGAUCGUGUUCAAGCGGGCCAUCAGCGACUCAAGGUCAUUCUGAAGUGUCUCCUCAGGCCAGAGCGUCGAGUCGAUGCGAGAUGUGGCGGCCUUCAGCCUUGCGAGAUAGUCCACGACAGCUGCAACACGAGACUCCAGUCGGAAAACAUCCAUGGCAACUUCGUCGUUCACCGGAGAAUUGACGGGGUCGAGGUUUGGCUCCAGCCGGCUAGUUUCUUCUUCAAAGUUUUGACAAAAUUCUGCAAGGAUGAUCACUAAGUCAAGGGGAUGGUCGAAUGGAAAAACCACGAUUGGAAAUGUUUGCCGAGCAUAGAGGUUUACCUUCAAGCAUAAGAAACAGCUUCUUGGCAAGACCACUCAGGAAGGCCUCCAGAUCAUUUUUCUUCCCAGUCAACUUACUGACUUGGUCGGUCAGGGCAGCUUUAUCAGUUUUUAGUCGACUGACCUCCUUGUUGGCGAUCCCAAGAGCAGCUUUCAGAUUGGUAUUGUCUUGUUCAAGCUUGGUGACUGAAGCUAACUUCUCGUCAGCAAGCUUGAUCUUCUCAGCUAGUUCGAGGUCUUUCUUCUGUUGGGCCUCCCUUACCUUACCUGCCAGUUACAGCAAGAUCAGAUUUUGAAACAAGCAAGGGGAAAAGCAGUCGUCAGGGUCUCACCAAACAUACCUUCGGUCUCCUCCUUUGCCUUCGUCAGCUUCUCCUGAACCAGCUUCAAGCUCAGCUCGAGUUGAGUGUGCUUGUUUUCCAGCUCAGAGUAGCGAGCCACAAGAUCACAGGAGUUCUGCGAAGAACCAAUCGACUAAAUGUCAAAUAUAAUUCACUUCCGAGUGAAAAAGGAAAAAAUCACAUGUUUCUAAGACUACAGCCGAAUACAAGCAUUCGACCGUAGUCUCGGGGACUACACCCAGUGGGUGCACUCAGCGUGCCCCCACUAAUCCUGUUGAAGACAAAGUCGACCAGUCGACCUCAAAAAAAAAA